AGAUUGAAAUCCUGGUUCAUUUUAAAGAUCGAAAUGUUGUUGACCCUGUUCUUCUAUGCUUAAAUGGUAAAAAUGUCGCAUUUUUCUUGUUCUAACCAUUUUUCUUGAUAACUUGCAGAUGCUGGCCUUCAUUCAUGUUUUGUCGUGAGGUCCAGGAUGAACAAGUUGGGAGAAGCAUUGGAGCUAGUUAUACUAUGAUAGUUGUGUUACCUGAUGUGAACAUUUUUUAUUGUAAACUUGAUGUGAAGCAUAUUUUUCUGUAAUAAUGUGUUACCAGGAUGAACCAUCCUUGCUGUGUUACCAGGAUGAACAAGUUUGAUUGUAAUAAUGUGCCAAGUUUGGCUCUUUCUGAUUGUAUUCGUGAUGUGUACCAUAUUUUUCCUAAUUAGUUAUGCUCUAUUUGAAGCAUUUUGUUUUCCCUCUGUUCGGAUUUAAAUAUUGUUAUUUAUUUAUUGGAAAAUUGAGAUCUGAAGAAUAUAACAGUGACAACUGGGACCCACUUGUUAGAACCUGACAACUGGGUCCCAUCUCACUAGUGGGCUCAUCUUUUGGAAAAAAUAAAAUAAAAAAGGCCAUGGACUAGAAAAUAAAAAGGCCGAAUUCUUGGGACAGGCCCAUGUAGCUAAUAAAAGCACAGGAAAAAAUAUAUAGAAAGGCCGAAUUGUUGGGCUAGGCCCAUGUAAAACGCUAAAUUGGACCGGGCUGAUUCUUGUGCCACAUCAGAUUGCCACAUCGGAUGCCUACGUGGCCUGGGGAGGCUGCUAGUGACCAAAACGCCACAGUAGACAUAUUUUGGUCGUAAACGUCUACGACCAUUCCAGAAGAAAGGUCGCUAUAGUCAGUUUAUGACCGCCAGCUUUUGACCUUAUGUUUUUGGUCACAAAAAGGUCACAAAUUGAAAACAGUGACCAUUCAAUGACCAAUAGUGCUGGUCACAAGUUGACAUAUUUCUUGUAGUGCUCGAGCGGAGUAUAUGGCAAGCAAGGGAUGUUUUCAGAUGCCAUUGACCAUAGGUAGGCAUGUUUUCCCCUCAGACCUAAUAGUUUUGAAGUCACAAGGAUACGUAUAACUCUUGAGAAAACAUCGACUGUGCUAGUAAGUCAAUUUUACUCACCGACCUGGAGGGAAAGAGGAUCAAGUAUGUAUCUAGGCAUGCGCCGAGGAGGACCCAAGUAAAUUCCCUCUCAAGAGUUGUUCAGGAAGAAGUGCCUGUUGUGAAGGAUUACCCAGAUAUAUUUCCAGAGGAAUUGCCAGGCAUGCCACCAGAUCGAGACAUAGAAUUUUUAAUAGAGUUGUUGCCAGGCACUGGACCAAUAUCGAAGAGACCAUACCGGAUGCCCGCUAAUGAUCUGGAGGAAAUUAAGAAGCUUAUUAAGGAGUGAUAACCCACAAGUAUAGGGGAUCGCAACAGUUUUCGAGGGUAGAGUAUUCAAUCCAAAUUUAUUGAUUCGACAAAAGGGGAGCCAAAGAAUAUUCUCAAGUACUAAUAGUUGAGUUGUCAAUUCAACCGCACUUGAAAGACUUAGUAUCUGCAGCAAAGUAUUUAGUAGCAAAGUAAUAUGGAAGUAGCGGUAACAGUGGCAAAAGUAUCAGUAUUGGUUUUGUAGUGAUUGUGACAGUGGCAAUGGAAAAGUAACUAAGCAAAGAUCAAUAUGUGAAAAGCUCGUAGGCAAUGGAUCAAUGAUGGAUAAUUAUGUCGGAUGCGAUUCCUCAUGUGACAGUUAUAACAUAGGGUGACACAGAACAAUCUCCAGAUCAUCAAUGUUAUGUAGGCAUGUAUUCCGAAUAUAGUCACACGUGCUUAUGGAAAAGAACUUGCAUGACAUCUUUUGUCCUACCCUCCCGUGGCAACGGUGUCCUAUCGGAAACUAAGGGAUAUUAAGGCCUCCUUUUAAUAGAGUACCAGAACAAAGCAUUAACACUUAGUGAAUACGUGAACUCCUCAAACUAUAGUCAUCACCGGUAAUUAUCCCGAUUAUUGUCACUUCGGGGUUAACGGAUCAUAACACAUAGUAGGUGACUAUUGACUUGCAAAAUAGGAUCAAGAACUCACAUAUAUUCAUGGAAACAUAAUAGGUUCAGAUAUGAAAUCAUGGCACUCGAGCCCUAGUGACAAGCAUUAAGCAUAGCAAAGUCAUAGCAACAUCAAUCUCAGAACAUGACGGAUACUAGGGAUCAAACCCUAAUAAAACUAACUCGAUUACAUGAUAAAUCUCAUCCAACCCAUCACCGUCCAGAAAGCCUAUGAUGGAAUUACUCACGCACGGCGGUGAGCAUCAUGAAAUUGGUGAUGGAGGAAGGUUGAUGAUGAUGACGGUGACGGAUUCCUCUCUUCGGAGCCCCGAACAGACUCUAGAUGAGCCCUCCCGAGAGAGAUUAGGGCUUGGCGGCGGCUCCGUAUCGUAAAACAUGAUGAAUCCUUCUCCCUGAUUGUUUUCUCCCUGAACGCGAAUAUAUAGAUUUGGAGUUGAGGUCUGUGGAGCCUCAGGGGGGCCACGAGAUAGGGGGCGCGCCUGGGCAUGCCCCCACCCUUGUGGACAGGGUGUGGGCCCUUGAUUCUUUCGCCAGUAUUUUUUAUAAAUUCCAAAAAUAUUCUCCGUGAAGUUUCAUGUCAUUCCGAGAACUUUUAUUUCUGCACAAAAAUAACACCAUGGAAAUUCUGCUGAAAACAGCGUCAGUCCGGUUAGUUCCAUUCAAAUCAUGCAAGUUAGAGUCCAAAACAAGGUCAAAAGUGUUUGGAAAAGUAUAUAUGAUGGAGACGUAUCAACUCCUCCAAGCUUAAACCUUUGCUUGUCCUCAAGCAAUUUAGUUGACAAACUGAAAGUGAGAAAGAAAAACUUUUACAAACUCUGUUUGAUCUUGUUGUUGUAAAUAUGUAAAGCCAGCAUUCAAGUUUUCAGCAAAGAUUAUGAACUAACCAUAUUCACAAUAACGUUUAGGUCUCAUUUUUACUCAUAUCAAUGGCACAAUCAACUAGCAAGCAAUAAUAGUAAAUCUCGGAUGACAACACUUUCUGAAAACAAUCAUAAUCUGAUAUAACAAGAUGGUAUCUCGCUAGCCCUUUUGAGACCGCAAAACAUAAAUGCAGCUCACCUAUGAAGAUCAAGGACUGACUAAACAUUGUAAUUCAUGGUAAAAUAGAUCCAGUCACAGUCAUACUCAAUGUAAACUAAUAGUAAUGCAUGCAAAUGACAUCGAUGCUCUCCAACUAGUGCUUUUUAAUAAGAGGGUGAUGACUCAACAUACAAGUAAAUAGAUAGGCCCUUCGCAGAGGGAAGUAGGGAUUUGUAGAGGUGCCAGAGCUCGAUUUUGAAAUAGAGAUAAAUAAUAUUUUGAGUGGUAUACUUUCAUUGUCAACAUAAAAACCGAGAGAUCUCGAUAUCUUCCAUGCUACACACAUUACAAGCAGUUCCCAAACAGAAUGGCAAAGUUUAUAUUCCCCCACCACCAACAAACAUCAAUCCAUGGCUUGUCCGAAACAACGGGUGCCUCCAACUAACAACAAUCCUGGGGGAGUUUUGUUCGCAAUUAUUUUAAUUUAAGCAUGGGACUGGGCAUCCCGGUUACCAGCCAUUUUCUCGUGAAUGAGGAGCGGAGUCCACUCCCCUUGAGAAUAACCCACCUAACAUGGAAGAUGUAGACAACCCUAUUUGAUACAUGAGCUAUUCGAGCAUACAAAACAGAAUUUCAUUUGAAGGUUUAGAGUUUGGCACAUACAAAUUUACUUGGAACGGCAGGUAGGUACCGCAUAUAGGAAGGUAUGGUGGACUCAUAUGGAAUAACUUUUGGGGUUUAUGGAAGUGGAUGCACAAGCAGUAUUCCCGCUUAGUACAAGUGAAGGCUAAAAAAGACUGGGAAGCGACCAGCUAGAGAGCGACAAUAGUCAUGAACAUGCAUUAAAAUUAAUCAACACUAAGUGCAAGCAUGAGUAGGAUAUAAUACACCAUGAACAUAAAUAUCGUGGAGGCUAUGUUGAUUUUGUUUCAACUGUCUACAUGCGUGAACAUGUGCAAGUCAAGCCACUCAAAUCGUUCAAAGGAGGAUACCACCCUAUCAUACCACAUCACAACCAUUUUAAUAGCAUGUUGGAACGCAAGGUAAACCAUUAUAAACUCCUAGCAAAUUAAUCAUGGCAUGAGCAACUAUAAUCUCUAAUUUUCAUUGCAAACAUGUUUCAUUCAUAAUAGGCUAAAUCGGGAAUGAUGGACUAAUCAUAUUUACAAAAACAAUAUAGUCGAGUUCAUACUAGCUUCGCUCAUCUCAAUCAGUCCAUCAUAUAUCAUCAUUAUUGCCUUUCACUUGCAUGACCGAACGAUGUGGAUAAUAAUAACAGUGCACAUGCAUUGGACUAAGAUAGAAUCUGCAAGCAUUUAAUACACAAGAGAAGACAAGGUAAUAUGGGCUCUUGGUUAGAUCAACAAUAAUGCAUAUGAGUGCCACUCAACAUUUUCAUCAUGGUCUUCUCCUCUCGACCCCCAAAGAAAAGAAAAGAAACAAAACUAUUUACACGGGAAAGCUCCCAACAAGCAAAAGAAGAACGAGGAAUCUUUUUGGGUUUUCUUUUUAAUUACUACUACUAGAAGCAUGGAAAGUAAACUAGCUAAAAGCUACAACUAAGUUUUUUGGUUUUUCUUAAGGUUUUUCAAACACACAAGAAGAAGGCUUAAAAAGAAAAUAAACUAGCAUGGAUAUUACAAUGGAAAAGUGUGAGCACCGACAACUGGCAUGAGUGUGUGAACAUGAAUGUAAUGUUGGUGAGAAAUAUGUACUCCCCCAAGAUUAGGCUUUUGGCCUAAGUUGGUCUAUGGCCAUGGCUCAAAGCUGCCCUCUUUGGUGUACGGAGGAGUGUCUUCUGGGUGCCACUGGUUGGCGAUCUCCUCCGGAUCCCACUGAUAAACAGACUGCUGAUAAGUGUUAAGGGGUGGCUCCGGCUCAGGCUCUGGAGCUGGUGCCCGGCUCCAGUAUGCAUGAACGGCCUCCGGCAAAACAAGGUACAUGCCUGAAAAUGUGUUAAACAAAGAGGGCACGGGCAAGGUAAUAAUCUCAUAGUAGUUUUUUUAAUCAAAAAUCAAUCUAUACUUAAGCACCUUCUUCUUAUCCUUAACAAUAAAAUCAUGUGCUACCAUACUCUUAUAAUCUAGAAAAAUAGGGGGUAGCAACUUUUCCUCUUUCUCAUAAUGCCUAAUAGGUAUCCUAAAGUGUGCAGCAAGGUGUGAAGCAAAGAUGCCUCCAAAGAUGGGGCCCUUUGUACGGUUUAGAUUUAAUCGUUUAGCAACAAUAGCGCCUAAACUGAAAGUGGUAUCACGAAACAAAGCAUGGCGCAAAAUAACAAUAUCAGGGGCACUGAGGUUUCCGCUGUUCCCACGACCAAUUAAGCAUCUACUAGCAAAUAUUGCAAAGUAACGUAGAACAGGAAAAUGUAUGCUAGUAAUUCUUGCAUCGAAAACUUUCCUCAUUUCCCCUACAACAAUCGUAUCAAUAAACCCCUCCACAUCAUUACGACGUGGUUCCUCUAUGCUGCCCUCAAAGGGUAUCUUACAGACCCGACAAAAAUCAUAAAGUGACAUCUCCUUAACCUCAUCAUAUAAAUGAAAUUCCACUUAAGGUGGUGAUUUCUUAGCAUGAAAGUAAAAAAAUUGCACAAAAAUAUUAGUGAGGAGGAGAUAUUGUUCGCACUGGUCGCGGAGGAAUUCAAUGAGGCCUGCAUUCUCAGCCAAAUAAUAAAAGUCAUCACAAAUCAUGGCUGCUCUCAAGAACUCAUCACAAGGCCACUCGUACGGCGGAACCUCCGCAGUGCGAGGGAGAUUAUAUUUGGGCUUCUUAUUCUCUUCACUUUGCUUAUCCUUCGAGCUUCGGCUUGAAGAGCCCCUCAACAAUCUCUUCAUCAUUUUCUUUCUCUGAAAAAUUUCUUAAAUUUUUAGUGACUCAAAAUAAAAGUGAACCAAACUCAACAAGAUCGAUAGCAACUACUGCCACAAAUGCCUAGAGGCCAUAUCAUGCAUUAAAACUACUUUUGACCACAUAAAUUUGACAUGCAAGCUCAAGAACAGGGUCACCUAAGCAGCAAAAAUUUGCAUUAAAUAAAGCACUAGAACAAAAACUAAUUGGACCAUUGGAGGAGUCACAUACCGAAGAAAAAUCCACCAAAGCAAUUUUGUGAAUGGAGCUUUGAGCAAGGAGAUCGAAAAUGGCAGCAAGAUGAGCUAGAACUCGGGUUUGAGCAGGUGAAUGAUUUUUUCUGGAGGAAGACGAAGUGUGUGUGUGCAAUAAUAAGUGGAGGGGCCCAUGUGGGGUCCAUGAGGCAGGGGCGAGCCCCAGGGGGUGGGUGUGCCCUGGACCCUCGUGGCUAGGUGGUGGGCCCCCCUGGUGUGUUCUCAGUGCCAAAUAUUCCAAAAUAUUCUACAAAAAAUCAUCUAAAAUUUUCAAGGCAUUUGGAGAACUUUUUUCGGGGUAUUUUUUAUUGCAAGGAUAAUUCAGAAAACAGACAGAAAAUACAAUUUUGCUUUAUUUAAUCUAAAUAACAGAAAGUAAAAGGAGGGUAUAGAGAGUUGUGCUUUCUAACUUCAUCCAUCUCAUGCUCAUCAAAAGGAAUCCACUAACAGGGUUGAUCAAGUCUUGUUAACAAACUCUUUCUGAAUAACAUGAAACCGGAGAAUUCUCGAAUAACACUAAGUUACCUCAACUGGGAUAUGCAUGUCCCCAACAAAAGGAAUAUCAUAUUUUUUCUUGACAGUAGGAAGAGGAAAUUCAAAACCUCCAAUAAUAAUCGUUGGAAUUUUUCCAAUAGAAUUGAUACUGUGGACUUGAGAUUUUUUCCUUAGAAAGUGUACCGUAUGCUCAUUACCAUUAACAUGAAAAGUGACAUUGCCUUUGUUGGAAUCAAUAACAGCCCCUACAAUAUUCAAAAAGGGUCUACCAAGAAUAAUAGACAUACUAUCGUCCUCGGGAAUAUCAAGAAUAACAAAGUCUGUUAAAAUAGCAAUGUUUGCAACCACAACAAGCACAUCCUCACAAAUACCGACAGGUAUAACAGUUGAUUUGUCAACCAUUUGCAAAGAUAUUUCUGUAGGUGUCAACUUAUUCAAAUCAAGUCUACGAUAUAAAGAGAGAGGCAUAACAGUAACACCGGCUCCAAGAUCACAUAAAGCAGCUUUAACAUAGUUUCUUUUAAUGGAGCAUGGUAUAGUUGGUACUCCUGGAUCUCCAAGUUUCUUUGGUAUUCCACCCUUAAAAUUAUAUUAAGCAAGCAUGGUGGAAAUUUCAUCUUCCGGCAUCUUUCUUUUAUUUGUAACAAUAUGUUUCAUAUACUUAGCAUAAGGAUUCAUUUUAAGCAUAUCAGUCAAACGCAUACGCAAAAAGAUAGGUCUAAUCAUUUCAGCAAAGCACUCAAAAUCCUCAUCGUCCUUUUUCUUGGAUGGUUUAGGAGGAAAAGGCAUGGGUUUCUGAACCCAUGGUCUUCUUUCUUUACCAUGCUUCCUAGCAACGAAGUCUCUCUUAUCAUGAUGUUGAUUCUUUGAUUGUGGGUUAUCAAGAUCAACAGCAGGUUCAAUCGCUACAUCAUUGCCAUUGCUAGGUUGAGCAUCAAUAUGAACAUCAUCAAUAACAUUAUCACUAGGUUCAUGUUCAUUACCAGAUUGUGUUUCAGCAUUAGAAAUAGAAAUAUCAUUGGGAUUCUCAGGUGUGUCAACAAUAGGUUGUAACAUCCGAAAAUUCUAAAUUUUGGAAUGUUAUAUUAAAUAAAUUAUUACGAUUGUUUGUUUGAUUGUUGUGUGAUUGAUUGUGUGAAAUUGAGUGGAAAUUGAAACUUUUGAGAGUUGCAUGAGAGGGAAUAAAAGGACUUCCCCAAAACUUUUCAUCUUGCAUUUUAAUCUCCCUGAAUUCAAAUUCAUUUCAUUACAAAAACCCUAGGGUGAAGAUAAUAUGACUUCUUCCAUUUAAAGAAAUGAAAAGGGCUUGGAAAAUGAUUUGAAUUCCAUUUGAGAAUAUUUCAAAUCAGAAACUUUAUGCCACUCAAGGAUUUUCAUGAGAGAAGAUAACAGGACUUCUUCAAAAUAUAUGAAAUAGAGUGGAGAGUGAUGAGGAGCACUUUUGAAUUUCAUUUGGUUCACUUUUGGAAAGUUUUCCGUUUUGAGUUUCAAAAACAUUCCCAUUCAUUCAAAUAAAAUAAAGAGAGAAGGAAAUAUGACCCCUUCAAUUAUCAGAAAGAAAAUGGAAAUGGAUUAUGAAACCAAUAGAGGUUAUCUUAAUAUAAUAUUUUGAAAUCAUUUGCCUCUCAUGAUUUAUUUCAUUUUGGAGUUUUCUUGAAUGUUCAAAUAUUAUUUUCCACUCAAGAAAAAUAAAGGAGAGGGGAUAAGAUGACUUCCUCAAAAUAGAAAAGAGAUGUGAGUUUCAUUUGAAUAUUAGUUGGAGUUUUCAGAACUUAUUUGGUAUUUAUUUGAUUUGCAAAAAGUGCAUUAAAUGCAUUAGGAAAAUAUUUUGAAAUUCUUCUAUGCUUGAAUAAAUGUUCAUUGUGCUCUAGAUAUUCCAAGGUAAUUUUAGAAAUUAUCGUGGUAUUUUUAGGAUUCUGUUUGGUUAUGAUUUGGCCUCGGAAAGCUUUUUGUAAAAAACAGGCACACACACCCGCGCGCAGGCCCAACCACCGCUGGCCAGAGCCGGCCCAUAGCCACAGCAAGCCACGCCAGGCCAGGAGCACCGCGGCCUGUUCCUAGCGCCCGGAGGCCACCGCCUCGCAUGCAGCGCCCGCUGCCAGAUGGGGCCCGCCCCAGGUCACCCCCAACCUCCCGCUUGCUCCGCUCGGAUAGAGCUUGCGAGCUCACCGCCCGCAAUAGCCGCCAGCCUUGCGCUCGGAUAAUGCAUAUCCGUAGCCCCGAGCACCCCUCUCUGCGCCUAUAUAAACCCAGAGACCCCUCUCUCCAUUCUGCCACUCCGCAUCAACCCACGCCACUCAUAGACGACGUACUGCCGCUUUGGAUCUUGCCGGAGCCGGAGGACCUCACCGUCGUUUUUGUCGCUCGUAGACCACCCUGGCCUCCACUCUCUCUGUCAAUAUCAUUCUCUCGAUCUACCGCAUCUCGUUGACAUUCUCCUUUUGCCCUAGGUUCGCCGGAGACGCCGUGCAAACGACCUGCAUCCUCACCGGAGCACGGGGCCGCCGCCCGCUCCGCCCGUCUAGGCCACCCUGACGUGCGCCAUCACCACCACCGAACCGCCCACGUCGUGCCCGUCCCGUUCGUCUCCUCCCCUGCCGCUGACGAGCAGCGUCGCCACCGCCCAUCCGCAACCUGACGCCAACGCCACCGCCCCCCUGUUCAUCAUCGUCGCUCGCUGUAAGCUGAGCUGCUCGCCCGCCUCGUUCGUUUUCAUUUUUUGUGUUGUUAGUAUUAGAUCGGUUAACCUUGGCUAUAGUUAAACCGAACGGUUUUUAUUUUAACCGAAGUCAGUUUUUCUUGUAGUUAGCCGUCGCCUCUGUUUUGCUUAUUUAGUGGCCGUUCGCUAUUUAGCCUAAGCCACGAACGCUGCUCAGCCACCCGGAAGCCGCCACGUGGCCAGGGACCUGGUCGUGAAUAAAAUUUUCACAGUCUAGUCCCUGAGUUUUCAGUUUAGCCCCUAAAUUUCGAAUGGUUGUAUCUUUUUAACUGUAAGUCCAAAUUCAACGAAACCAGCGGCAAAAUGUUCGUCUUGAAUAGAUAUAUCCAGAGAACCAACUUCGAAAACUUUUGGCCAAUUUAAAAUUUGAAUUUAUUUAGGUUUGAAUUCAAACUUCAACUGGCCAUAUCUCCUAAACCGUGACUCCGAUUGAUGUGAUUCUUUUUGCACCAUGUCACCGUAGCCAAACCCUACCACUUGGACCAUUGUCACACAUUUUCCACACAAAUAUGGUCUGUCUAUGAUAGUAUUAUUACUAUGCUUUAUAUGCAUAAUAGAUCACAUCAUAGUUUUGCACCCUAUGCCACUUAGUGUUUUGCAUCUAGAAUUUUGCAUGCAAUUAAAGUGUGUUGGAUUUUCAUUUGGGUUUUAUCGAACUUUUUGUUGCAUAUUAUUUUGAAUCUCUGUAGUGAUUGCUUAUGUAUGUUAUUUUACUUUGAUGAUAGAUUGUCCGGAGUGCGAAGCCGAGUAGUAUUGAUCUAUAGAAUUCAACUAUCAGUAUCAAGGCAAGUUCGCAUUUGACCAUACUUUUAAUUACCUAUGUUUUUUUAUCCUCACUUAGUCCGUUGUAGUAGGAAUGCAUGGUAGGAAAAUUUAUGCAGGGUGGCUAUGUUUUUACCUAGUAGUUCAUUGAGGUAGGUUUGAACCAUAUACCUUUGUCACCACCGCCUAAGUUUAAUUUUGCCUCGCCAAUGUAGACGUGGAUUGGGAAGUGUUCAUUGUGAGAGAUGAGUGACAAAGUAGUAAGUAGGACCAAGAUAACUUAAUGAACUACCUGGGCGGAGGUUUGGUUUGAAUGGUGACGAAGGACAGUGGGAGCAUGCAUGGGAAAUCCAUGGUGGUGCACCACUAGUGGUCUGUCCGCCCAGGCUCAAAGGGAUCUAACGUAUUUUCAUGUCUAGAAGCUUACGUCUGCAGCCACAAGCCAAUAUGGGCUCUGUCUUAGUUGAGUAGAUAGUGUGACCUCUUCCGGGAUAGGCUAGCAGAUGUAGAAUGAGUAGGUGUAUCGGCGUAUCCGUGGGUUAAGGGGAAAUACUUUCGAAAGACUAUGUCUCGGUCAUCCUGUUCUCAAACACCAGGCACUGCGAGAACUUCAAGGGAGGCAAUCAAGUCUUGUGGGGAAAAGUGCACAAACCUCUGCAGAGUGUUAAAACCUAAUCGAUUAGUCGUGUCCCUGGUUACAGACAACUUGAGCAUCUAGUAGUGGAAAUGCUGGGAGAUCUCAUCACUCUUAAUUAAACAGUUGGGUUUUAAAUGAAACUUUGGGAAUGGAUUGAGUUGGGUUUACCAACUCAUACUAUGCAAUACAAUAGUGGUAGAAUAAUAUCUUUUAUUCUAGGAAAAAACUAGCUUUAUGCAAAAACUAAACUUAGAGCUUUCCACCAUCCAAAUUGCAUGUACAAAUAGGUUCAUUAUUCUUAUGAUGUGACUUGCCAAUACAUUCAAUGUACUGACCUACAGGGCUGCAACGUCUUAUGUUGUAGGAAUUUUCUAUGACGAGUAAGAGUUACGUUGUAAGGUUAUGGUCUACACUCAACUUGUUGUUGGCACUGAUGGGACUCCACACCCGUUCGAUUGUUUCCGCUGAGAUUUAUGAGGUAUAUAUCAGUUUUACGUUAUUUAAACAUGUGAUUGCACUUUGAUAUAUACAUUGAUGUACUGUGUGUGCCAGCAUAACGAUCCAGGGAUGGCACGGAUACAUAGAGGCUUGACCGUUUGAGGUCGGGUCGCUACGGAGAUGGUAUUAGAGCACAUGUUGACUAUAGGACGUGACCCUAGAAACUAGAAAACCCUUAGGAAAGGAAUUCUCUAAAACUUUAUUUUAAAAAAGAUCCUUUACCUCUCUUCUUUUUUGAGCUUUAUCAAAUCUUUCCUUUUACCUCAAAUAGUUAGACAAUACCCCUUUUCCCUUCGACCACACAGAGGAUCGACUGAUGAGACCACUCCGAGAAGGGCAAGAUAUCGGACAACUGAGGACCACUUUAGAGUAAAAGAGGACUUCACCAUACACUAGAAGAAUUAAAGCUACAACAGUUAAAGACUGGAAGAAUUUGAAGACACUAAAGAAUUCCAAGAUUUAUAUGACCUUUAGAAGACCAAACCCUUGUUGUAUACUCAAGUUAGAUGCGAUGAUUUGUGAGGUGUCAUAUUUGGUGUGUGUUUUCCAACAACAACAAAUAAAACUUAUUUUCAAAACUAUAUUGUUUGUAUUGUGUGUACCUCUCUCUAUCCCUCUUAUCUCAUCCCAAAACCCUUGGACCCAGUAGAUGAUGAAUGAAGAUGGACUUGUAUUCUCUGGACCGAUCACUUAGUUGUAGGAAGAGCUAUGGACUCAAAACAUGGAGAAUCACUUCGAGAGUAAUUUGGUUGCAAGGAAGUAUGAGGUUCAAUAUGCUCUUCAGUACUUUAAAAAAGUGCUGCAGCCUAGUGGAAAAUGCGUCAAGCCAUACAAGGAUGUAAUGGAGCAAAAACUUGGGAGGAAUUGAAGAAGACUCUGUUGGGAUCCCGUCUUAUCCGGAAGCACGGUAAUAAACCGAUGAAGGAACCUUGUGCCUGCAAGAUAUGCGAAGAAAUAGGCCACACCCAUGAAGAACACAAGGAUGGAUGCCCUCAUUGUGAAGGAAAUCACCCAGCGGAAGAAUGCCCAACUAGGCAGGUUACUUGUUUCUUGUGCGAAGGAACUAUGCACUACCCUGCCUAGUGUCAUAUUUACCCCAAGGUACAAGAAAUUACCAAGCAACAGAAGGAAGCAAUGAAAGAAGCCCUCGGGGAAAGUUUAAAAGAACCUGUGAUGAAGGAAGAUGUUGACGACCCUGAUGGAGAAAGCCUAAAUAGAUUUUACUCCAAUGCUUGCUAUUCAUGUGCAGAAGAAGGACAUUUUUCAUUAUAUUGCAUGAAGCAAAGCCAAGAGUAUCUAGGGGACUUCCAACAUAAGAAGUGGAGUUUGAUCCAUAGGAUAUAGAAGAAUUGAUCGGAACAAAGAAGUCUAGGAAGAGAAAGAGCAUGUAUUCCCUUAACAACCCAGUUUCUACAGAAAAGGACAUGAGUCAUAUCACUUGUUACAGGUGCAAGGAUUUAGGUCAUUAUGCUAGAAAGUGCCCAGCAAGGAAGCCAAGGACUCAAGGAGCCAAGAUAACCACCAGGAAGCCCCUGGAUUUGUCUGAGUCAUUUGUUUACACUACAAAGGAGUAGGAAAUUUUGUCAGAGAAUGUUCAGACCCGAGGAAAGCUUGAGCUAAGUAGUUGAGAUCUUGAUAUUGGAAUAAAGCAUGUAACAAAUGUGGAACACACUUUUAUUUUCAUUAGGGAUGUUGAGUUUAGUUAGGAAGUGGAAAUUGUAAUAGUUCAUGAAGCAAUAAAAGCUGAGGUGUUUGGAAUCUCAUAUGAAAUGUUAGGAGUUGUUUGUUGAUUGUGAGUGCCUCUCUCACUAUGUCACACAGACUUAAACAUUGAACCCAUGGUCAAGCUGACCCCAAACUUUUCCCGGAAAACAACCACAUUUCACCCAAGGAAAUACAUACAUUAUCCUGAGUACCCCUUCUAUCUUAUACUUGCACAUGACAACCCUUUAUGAGUCUUUUCUCAAGGGCCCGGAAAUGGUCAUGACCCUGACUAGUGAUCAGGAUUACCCAAAAAUCCUGAAGGACAUGAUGAAGCAUAUUCAUCUUGAAGGAGAUGCAGUAUACAAGGGUUAUCCUUUCAUGGAGAAUGGAGUUGAACAUUGGUACAUGGAGGUACACCUCCACCAUGUGAAGGGAGUUUUCCCAAAGACUAUGGGACAAUACGUUUUCAUUUCUCGAGUACCACGAGCAACAUUCUUCGACUCUGUUCGUGAAGCUGCUAUGGAAGCCAUACGUCAGAUUGGAGAAAUACUUGAAGCAAGACUCCGUCACACUCAGGAAUACCUGAGAGAGGUGCAUGCAGAGAUGAUGGAUGUGAAGCUCAUGGCCACCAUGAUGAAGCAAAACAUCGAUGAUUUGAAAGAUCACAUCACACAAUUCUAGUGGGACUGAAGCAUCUUCAAGAAGGGCAAAUGAAUAAAGAUGGAAGUAAUGCUUGACCAUACCAAACUAUGUGGAUGGAAGCUUUUGUAAUAGGGUACUUCUAAAAUUAGAGUUUUGAGUAGUGGUUAAGGAUGUAAUAAAGGAGUUCAUAUGAAGAGAAUAUGAAUUAUGGAUGAACCCAUGCAUUUUUUGGGCGAUACUUUUCUAUGUGAACACCUGACCAAUGGAAAGGAAAAAUGUUGUUCCAUAGGGUGGAGUUUGGACAAAAUGAGUUGGAGUUUGUUUUCAUUAUGAUGGUUACCUGAAGAGUAUGAGUGAAUGAAGUACUAUUGGAUUUAAAGGAGAUGAAAUGUUGGAAUAAGUAACAAUAGUAACUCCAAGGAUGGGUUAAAGUUAUAGAAGUGUUGACGUGGGCCAUAACCCAUAGGACCCAUGAUUUGAAAAGGAACAAGCACAACCUUGUUAAAGAAAGAAUUCUGGAAGAAGUUGCGAUUUCAUCAACAAACGUUCCAUAGGAGGUUACGUAAACCCGAGAGUUGUGAAGAAUGAUAGAGGUUUUGUUUGGCUUGCUGAACCAAUGGAUUUACCCAAACCCAGUUCAUGGAGAAGAGAAGUUCUGUGAUGCUUGUGAGGAUGCCCAAGUGUUAGAAUUCGUGAUUCACUAUCUGCGUAUGUGGUAAUGGUUCAAGUAUGGUAUGGAUUGGCCCCCAUACCAGAGACUUCUAUCAUGAACUAUCAUAUGUUGAUGGAAAAUCAGAGAGCCUUAAAAACCUAGAAGAGUGUCGACACGACAAACCAAAAGCCUUAGAAUGGCAGGACGAUGGAAACCUUGCACAGGCACCCGUUGCCAAUCGUAGGUUAUACGAUGAGGUUUAACCCAGACCCAUUUCGUGCAGAAAUCAUAAAUUGUUGACCACCAUGAGUUUUUGGGUAGUUGUUUAGCAUUGGCGACAGCCUGACAGCAAAGAAGACCCAGACUCGGAAGGAUCUUAUUUGAUGCAAGGACUCCAUAUUUUGAGGAAAAGGCCAUGCCCUUACCGGAAGAGCACAAGUGAAGGAGUUAUCUCAGAGAAUAUGAGAAGACCGACACCAUUAACACCAAGGAUGGAGUACAUGAGUUUUGUUGGAACCGUAACAACGCUUCUAAGGGUGGUAGCACCCCAAACCUUGUGAUGAUUAAUGGACUUUCAAGAAGAUCCCCAAACCAUGACCUUUUCUUUCUAGCCUCUCCGAAUCUCGAGGGCAAGAUUCAUUUUAAGGGUGGUAGUUUGUAACAUCCCAAAAUUCUAAAUUUUGGAAUGUAAUAUUAAAUGAGUUAUUAUGAUUGUUUGUUUGAUUUUUGUGUGAUUGAUUGUGUGAAAUUGAGUGGAAACUGAAACUUCUGAAAGUUGCAUGAGAGGGAAUAAAAGGACUUUCCCCAAACUUUUCAUCUUGCAUUUUGAUCUCCCUGAAUUCAAAUUCAUUUCAUUACAAAAAUCCUAGAGUGAAGACAAUAUGACUUCUUCCAUUUAAAGAAAUGAAAAGGGGUUUGAAAAUUAUUUGAAUUCCAUUUGAGAAUAUUUUAAAUCAAAAAUUUAUUGCCACUCAAGGAUUUCCAUGAGAGAAGAUAACAGGACUUCUUCAAAAUAUAUGAAAUAGAGUGGAGAGUGAUGAUUUCAUUUGGUUCACUUUUGGAAAGUUUUCCGGUUUGAGUUUCAAAAACAUUUCCAUUCAUUCAAAUAAAAUAAAGAGAGAAGGGAAUAUGACUCCUUCAAUUAUCAGAAAGAAAAUGGAAAUGGAUUAUGAAACCAAUAGACGUUAUUUUAAAAUAAUAUUUUGAAAUCAUUUGCCUCUCAUGAUUUAUUGCAUUUUGGAGUUUUCUCGAAUGUUCAAAUAUUAUUUUCCACUCAAGAAAAAUAAAGGAGAGGGGAUAAGAUUACUUCCUCAAAAUAUAAAAGAGAUGGGAAUUUCAUUUGAAUAUUAGUUGGAGUUUUUAGAACUUAUUUGGUAUUUAUUUGAUUUACAAAAAGUGCAUUAAAUGCAUUAGGAAAAUAUUUUCAAAUUCUUCUAUGGUUGAAUAAAUGUUCAUUGUGCUCUAGAUAUUCCAAGGUAAUUUUAGAAAUUAUCGUGGUAUUUUUAGGAUUUUGUUUGGUUUCGUUUUGGCGUCGGAAAGUUUUUUUUGUAAAAAAACACGCACAUGCACCCGCGCGUAGGCCCAGCCACCGCUGGCCAGAGCCGGCCCACGGCCACAGCAAGCCGGGCCAGGACAGGAGCACCGCGGCCUACUCCCAGCUCCCGGAGGCCACCGCCUCGCACACCCGUUGCCUUCCCCUCGCUCGCACGUAGCGCCCGCUACCAGAUGGGGCCCGUCCUAGGUCACCCCCAACCUCCCGCUCGCUCCGCUCGGAUAGAGCUUACAAGCUCACCGCUUGCAAAAGCUGCCCGCCUUGCUCUCGGAUAAUGCAUAUCCGCAACCCCGAGCACCCCUCUCUGCGCCUAUAUAAACCCCGAAGACCACUCUCUCUAGUCUGCCACUCCGCAUAGACCCAUGCCGCUCAUAGCCGACACACUUCCGCUUUGGAUCUCCCCGGAGCCGGAGGACCUCACCGUCGUUUUUAUCGCCCGUAGACCACCCCGGCCUCCACUCUCUCUGCCAAUAUCAUUCUCUCGAUCUACCGCAUCUCGUUGACAUUCUCCUUUUGCCCUAGGUUCGCCAGAGACGCCGUGCAGACGACCUGCAUCCUCGCCGGAGCAUAGAGACGCCGCCCUUCGCUCCGUCCGUCCAGGCCACCCCAAAGUGCGCCGUCGCCACCACCGAACUGCCCACGUCGUGCCCAUCUCAUUCGUCUCCUCCCCCGUCGCCGAGGAGCACCGCCGCCACCUCCCAUCCGCCGCCUGACGCCAACGCCGCCGCCCCUGUUCAUCAUCGUCGCUCGCUGUAAGCCGGGCUGCUCGCCCGCCUCGUUCGUUUCAUUUUUUGUGUGUUGUUAGUAUUAGAUCGGUUAACCUUGGCUGUAGUUAAACUAAAGUCAGUUUUUCUUGUAAUUAGUCGCCACCUCUGUUUUGCUUAUUUAGUGGCCGUUCGCCAUUUAGCCUAAGUCGCGAAUGCUGCUCAGCCAGCCGGAAGCCGCCACGUGGCCAGGGACCUGGCCGCAAAUAAACUUUUCAUAGUCAAGUCCCUGAGUUUUCAGUUUAGCCCGUAAAUUUUGAAUAGUUGCAUCUUUUUAACCAUAAGUCCAAAUUCAAUGAAACCAGCGGCAAAAUGUUCGUCUCAAAUAGAUUUAUCCAGAGAAUGAACUUUGAAAACUUUUGGCCAAUUUCAAAUUUGAAUUUAUUCAGGUUUGAAUUCAAACCUCAACUGUCCAUAUCUCCUAACCUGUAGCUCCGAUUGAUGUGAUUCUUUUUGCACCAUGUCACCGUAGCCAAACCCUACCACUUGGACCAUUAUCACACAUUUUCCACAAAAAUAUGGUCUGUCUAUGAUAGUUUUAUUACUAUGCUUUAUAUGCACGAUAGAUCACAUCACGGUUUUGCACCCUAUGUCACUUAGUGUUUUGCACCUAGAAUUUUGCAUGCAAUUGAAGUGUGUUGGAUUUUCAUUUGGGUUUUACCGAAAUUUUUGUUGCAUAUUAUUUUGAAUCUCUGUAGUGCACAAACCUCUCCAGAGUGUUAAAACUUAAUCGAUUAGCCGUGUCCCCGGCUACGGACAACUUGAGCAUCUAGUAGUGGAAAUGCUGGGAGGUCUCAUCACUCUUAAUUAAAUAGUUGGGUUUUAAAUGAAACUUUGGUAAUGGAUUGAGUUGGGUUUACCAACUCAUCCUAUGCUAUAAAGUAGUGGUAGAAUAAUAUCUGUUAUUCUAGGGAAAACUAGCUUUAUGCAAAAACUAAACUUAGAGCUUUCCACCAGCCAAAUUGCAUGUACAAAUAGGUUCAUUAUUCUUAUGACGUGACUUGCCAGUACAUUCAAUGUACUGACCUACAGUGUUGCAACGUCUUAUGUUGCAGGAAGUUUCUACGACAAGUAAGAGUUACAUUGUAGGGUUAUGGUCCACACUCAACUUGUCGUUGGUGUUGAUGGGACUCCACACCCGUUCGAUUGUUUCCGCUGAGAUUUAUGAGGUAUAUAUCAGUUUUACGUUAUUUAAACAUGUGAUCGCACUUUGAUAUAUACAUUGAUGUACUGUGUGUGCCAGCAUACCGAUCCAGGUAUGGCACGGAUACACAUAGGCUUGACCGUUUGAGGUCGGGUGGCUACACAGGUUCACUAGAAGGAUGCAAAGUCCUAUCAUUUUUCUUUUUCUUCUUCUUAGAAGAACUAGGUGCAUCAACAUUACUUCUCUGAGAAUCUUGCUCAAUUAUCUUAGGGUGGCCCUUACAAUACAAAUGUUCCUGAGUCAUUUUACCCCCUCUAGUCACAACUCUAAUAGAAUUAUCAUUUUUAUUAUUAUUUAAUUCAUUGAGCAAAUCAUUUUGAGCUUUAAGCACUUGUUCUACUUGAGUGGUAACCAUAGAAGCAUGUUUACUAAUAAGUUUAAGUUCACCUUUAACUCUAGACAUAUAAUCACUCAAGUGUUCAAUCAUAUAAGCAUUACGUUUCAAUUGUCUACCAACAUAAGCAUUGAAGUCCUCUUGUUUAACCAUAAAAUUAUCAAACUCAUCCAAGCAUUGUAUAGCAAACUUAGUAGAUGGGAUUUCACCCUUAUCAAAUCUAUAGAGAGAAUUUACCUUUAAUACCUAUGUCGGGUUAUCAAGACCAUGUAUUUCUUCAAUAGGUGGUAAAUUCUUAACAUCUUCAGCUUUAAUACCUUUUUCUUUCAUAGAUUUCUUUGCCUCUUGCAUAUCUUCAGGACUGAGAAAUAGAAUACCCCUUUUCUUCGGAGUUGGCUUAGGAAUUGGUUCAGGAAGUGUCCAAUCAUUUUCAUUACUCAACAUAUUAUUCAAUAGCAAUUCAACUUGAUCAACAGUUCUUUCCCUGAAAACACAACCAGCACAACUAUCCAGGUGGUCUCUGGAAGCAUCGGUUAGUCCAUUAUAAAAGAUAUCAAGUAUUUCAUUUUUCUUGAGAGGAUGAUUAGGCAAAGCAUUAAGUAAUCAGAGAAGCCUCCCCCAAGCUUGUGGGAGAAUCUCUUAUUCAAUUUGCACAAAAUUAUAUAUUCCCCUUAAGGUAGCUUGUUUCUUAUGAGCGGGGAAAUAUUUAGCAGAGAAGUAAUAAAUCAUAUCUUGGGGACUACGCACACAACCAGGAUCAAGAGAAUUAAACCAUGUUUUAGCAUCGCCCUUUAAUGAGAACGGAAAUAACUUAGGGAUAUAGUAGUAACAAAUUUUCUCCUCAUUAGUGAACAAGGUGGCUAUAUCAUUCAAUUUAGUAAGAUGUCCCACAAUAGUUUCAGAUUCAUAACCAUAAAAAGGAUCAGAUUCAAGCAAAGUAAUUAACUCAGGGUCGACAGAGAAAUCAUAAUACUUAUCGGAAAUAUAGAUAAGUGAAGUAGCAAAAGCGGGGUCAUAUUUCUUAUGAGCGGGGAAAUAUUUAGCAGAUAAGUGAAGUAGCAUUCAAAGACUUUUCUUUCAGCUUAGCUAACAAUUUCUUAAGAUCAUAUCUAUCAUUGCAAGCUAAAAAGUCUCUAGCAGUUUCUUCAUCCAUAACAUAACCCUCAGGCACAACAGGCAAUUCAUAUCUAGGGGGAGAAUCUUCAUCGUCACUUUCAUCAAUGUUAUCAGUUUCAAUAAUUUCAUUCUCUCUAACCCUAGCAAGUUGUUCAUCAAGAAAUUCACCUAGUGGCACAGCAUUAUCAAGCAUAGAAGUAGUUUCAUCAUAAGUAUCAUGCAAAGAAGAAGUGGCAUCAUCAAUAACAUGCGACAUAUCAGAAUAAAUAGCAGGUGUAGGUGUCGCAAGUUUACUAAAAACAGAAGGUGAAUCAAGUAUAGAGCUAGAUGGCAGUUCCUUACCUACCCUCGUAGUGGAGGGAAAAAUCUUGGUUAUCUCAUCUUUCAAGUUCCUCAUAGUGAUCAAUAGAUAUAAAUCCCAAUUGACUCAAAGAAUAGAGCUAUGCUCCCUGGCAACAACGCCAGAAAAUAGUCUUGAUAACCCACAAGUAUAGGGGAUCACAACAGUUUUCGAGGGUAGAGUAUUCAACCCAAAUUCAUUGAUUCGACACACGGGGAGCCAAAGAAUAUUCUCAAGUAUUAACAAUUGAGUUGUCAAUUCAACUGCACCUGAAAUACUUAAUAUCUGCAGCAAAGUAUUUAGUAGCAAAGUAAUAUGAAAGUAGCGGUAACAGUGGAAAAAGUAACAGUAUUGGUUUUAUAGUGAUUGUGACAGUGGCAACGGAAAAGUAACUAAGCAAAGAUCAAUAUGUGAAAAGCUCGUAGGCAAUGGAUCAGUGAUGGAUAAUUAUGUCGGAUACGAUUCCUCAUGUAACAGUUAUAACAUAGGGUGACACAGACCUAGCUCCAGUUCAUCAAUGUAAUGUAGGCAUGUAUUCGGAAUAUAGACAUACGUGCUUAUGGAAAAGAACUUGCAUGACAUCUUUUUUCCUACCCUCCCGUGGCAGCGGGGUCCUAUCGGAAACUAAGGGAUAUUAAGGACUCCUUUUAAUAGAGUACCGGAACAAAGCAUUAACACUUUGUGAAUACAUGAACUUCUCAAACUAUAGUCAUCACCGGUAAUUGUCCCGAUUAUUGUCACUUCGGGGUUAAUGGAUCAUAACACAUAGUAGGUGACUAUUGACUUGCAAAAUAGGAUCAAGAAAUCACAUAUAUUCAUGGAAACAUAAUAGGUUCAGAUCUCAAAUUGUGGCACUCGGGCCCUAGUGACAAGCAUUAAACAUAGCAAAGUCAUAGCAACAUCAAUCUCAGAACAUAAUGGAUACUAGGGAUCAAACACUAACAAAACUACCUCGAUUACAUGAUAAAACUCAUCCAACCCAUCAUCGUCCAGCAAGCCUACGAUGGAAUUACUCACGCAUGGCAGUGAGCAUCAUGAAAUUGGUGAUGGAGGAAGGUUGAUGAUGACGAUGGCGACGGAUUCCCCUCUCCGGAGCCUCGAACAGACUCCAGAUCAGCCCUCCCGAGAGAGAUUAGGGUUUGGCGGCGGCUCUGUAUCGUAAAACGUGAUGAAUCCUUCUCCCUGGGUUUUUUCUCCCCAAACGUGAAUAUAUAGAGUUGGAGUUGAGGUCGGUGGAGCCUCAUGGGGCCCACGAGAUAGGGGGCGUGCCCAGGGGGGUGGGCGCGCCCUGACCCUCGUGGAUAGGAUGUGGGCCCCCUGGUUGAUUCUUUCGCCAGUAUUUUUUAUAAAUUCCAAAAAUAUUCUCCGUGAAGUUUCAGGUCAUUCCGAGUACUUCUAUUUCUGCACAAAAAUAACACCAUGGCAAUUCUGCUGAAAACAGCGUUAGUCCGGGUUAGUUCCAUUCAAAUCAUGCAAGUUAGAGUCCAAAACAAGGUCAAAAGUGUUUGAAAAGUAGAUAUGUUGUAGACGUAUCAAGGAGUUAUUGGAGAAAUAUUAUAUCCGACCAAGUUCGUCACCGUGGGGAGCCCAGUGCUCUUAGUUGAGAAGAAGGAUGGAUCUUUGAGAAUGGUUGUUGAUUAUCGGGCAUUGAAUGAGGUGACGAUCAAGAACAAGUGCCCACUACCGAUGAUCAAUGAGUUGUUUGACCAGCUGCAGGGAGCUAAAGUAUUCUCCAAGAUCGAUCUUCGAUCGGGAUACCACCAGCUGAAGUUCCGAGAGCAGGAUAUACCUAAGACAACUUUUACCACAAGGUAUGGGCUAUAUGAGUACACGGUUAUGUCAUUCGGAUUGACUAAUGCCCUUGGCUAUUUUAUGAGUAUGACGAAUAAGGUGUUCAUGGAGUUCUUGGAUAAGUUUGUUGUGGUGUUCAUUGAUGAUAUUUUGGUGUACUUGAAGAAUGAAGAGGAACACAAGGAACAUCGGCGAUUUGUUCUCGAGAAGCUCAGGGAACAUCAGUUAUAUGCCAAGUUCAACAAAUGUGAGUUUUGGUUGAAAGAAGUGGGAUUUCUUGGACAUGUUAUAUCAAGAGAAGGUAUAGUAGUAGACCCUACCAAGGUUCAGUCUGUCACUGAGGGGUUGGCACCCACCUCAAUAGGAGAGAUCCGCAGUUUUUCUGGGACUCGCAUGGUAUUAUAGGAGGUUCAUAGAGAAUUUAUCCAAGAUUGCGAAACCCAUGACAGAGUUGUUGAAGAAGGACACCAAGUUCAAAUGCACCGAAGAUUGUGAAGCCAGUUUUCAGGAGUUGAAGAAACGUUUGGUUACAGCCCCAGUGCUAAUUCUUCCAGAUAUAUGCAAGGAUUUCCAAGUGUAUUGCGACGCCUCUCACCUAGGACUUGGAGGUGUACUCAUGCAAGACGGAAGAGUUGUUUCUUAUGCCUCAUGUCAGCUUCGACCUCAUGAGUUUAAUUAUGCCAUGCACGAUUUGGAAUUAGCAGCCGUAGUACAUGCGCUCAAGACCUGGCGACAUUUUCUGAUUGGAAACCGUUGUGAUGUAUACACGGAUCAUAAGAGUUUGAAGUAUAUUUUCACGCAGAAAGAGCCGAAUCUCAGACAGAGGAGAUGGUUAGAGCUCAUAAAGGAUUACGAUAUGAGGCUGCAUUAUCAUCCAGGAAAGGCCAAUGUCGUAGCAGACGCUUUGAGCCGCAAGAGUUAUGUCAAUACCCUCGUAAGCGAAGGAUUACCGCAGGAGUUAGUUGACGAUCUCAAGGAACUUCGUUUGGAGAUAGUUCCAAGAGGUUUUGUUGCAGCAAUGGAGGUUCAAUCUACAUUAUUGGGAAAGAUUCGAGAAGCUCAAAAGGAUGAUAAGGAAAUCACUGAGAUAAAGGAGAAGAUGAGAAAAGGAAAAGCCAAAGGUUUUCGUUAGGAUGAGCAUGGAACUUAUGGUUUGACGAUCGUGUAUAUGUGCCCAAUAACACGGAGAUCAGGAAGUUAAUAUUUCAGGAAGCUCAUGACUCGCCAUAUUCGAUUCACCCCAGAAACACCAAGAUGUAUUUGGAUUUGAAGGAACAUUUCUGGUGGACAGGUAUGAAGAAGGAUAUUGCCGAGUAUGUAGCAGUAUGUGAUGUAUGUCAGACAGUGAAGGCAGAACAUCAGAAGCCAGCAGGAUUACUUCAGCCUAUGCCAAUACCCGAAUGGAAGUGGGACAAGCUUGGCAUGGAUUUCAUCACCGGAUUACCCAGGACAAGAUCAGGUUAUGAUUCCAUCUGAGUAGUAGUUGAUCGCUUGACCAAAGUGGCUCACUUUAUCCCCGUGAAAACCACAUAUACAAGAACGAAGUUGGCCAAGAUAUAUAUGACCAGGAUCGUAUGUCUGCAUGGAGUUCCGAGGACCAUCAUAUCAGAUAGAGGGACACAGUUUACCUCAAAGUUUUGGAAUCAGUUGCACUAUAUUUUGGGUACUAGGCUAGAGUUCAGUACAACCUUUCAUCCACAGACCGAUGGACAGACCGAGAGAGUCAAUCAGAUUCUGGAGGACAUGUUGAGAGCCUGUGCGCUACAUUAUGGGUCUAGUUGGGAUGAUAAUUUUCCUUACACAGAGUUCUCAUACAACAACAACUAUCAAGCUAGUUUGAAGAUGGCCCCUUUCGAAGCUUUGUAUGGAAGAAGAUGCAGGACACCAUUAAUGUGGGAUGAAGUCGGAGACCAUCAGUUGUUUGGACCAGAUCUAAUUAAGGAGUCUGAAGAGAAGGUCAAGUUGAUUCGAGAUAGAGUGAAGGUAGCUCAGUCCAGGCAGAAGAGUUAUGCCAAUACUAAACACAAGGAGGUAGUCUAUGAAAUUGGAGAUAGAACAUAUCUUCGUGUGUCACCACUGCGAGGAGUUAAACGAUUUGGAGUUAAGGGAAAGUUAGCCCCAAGAUUUGUAGGACCAUACUGAGUUCUGGAACAUAUGGGAGAGGUGGCCUACAAGUUGGAAUUGACCGAAGGAUUGUCAGGAGUUCACGACGUAUUUCAUGUUUCCCAGUUGAAGAAGUGCCAUGCGAAGAUGGCCGAUAUUCCUCUGAGAGAUACAGUGCCCCUGGAAGUAAUACAGUUGGAUAGUUACCUAACCUAUGAGGAGAAACCCGUCAAGAUUCUCGAGUUUGCUAGCCGAGUUACCCGCAGCAAGGUUAUCAAAUUUUGCAAAGUUUAGUGGAGCCACUAUACUGAGGAUGAAGCCACCUGGGAACGAGAAGAAGACCUACACAAAUACCACCCCCACCUAUUUUCUAGCCAACCCGAAUCUCGAGGGCAAGAGUCAUCUUAAGGGAGGUAGGUUUGUAACAUCCCAAUUUUCGAUUUGGAUGUUAUACAUAGGUCAUCAAAUGCAUAUCAUAUUUUAUUUGCAUUUUGGUUGUGAUCAUAGAAAUCUUAAGCAACUCAAGGACCCAAGGAGAGAGUUGGAGGUUUCAUUUUUUUUCAUAUUUGAAUUUCUCAAAUUUCAAAUUUGAAAAGAGAUCAAUUUGAUUUAAAUAUUUUUCUCUCUAAUUAUUUCCAAUAAUAAAUAUAAAUGAGAGAGGAUAAAAUGACUUCUUCAAAAGAGAGGAAUAUUGGAGGAGAAAUUUUAAAAUCAAAUUAUUAUACUAUUUGUAUUUUUAUUUGCUAUUUUAUUUGAAUUAGAAAAAAUAUGCAUUUUUGAAAAUUGCAUUUUUAGGCCAGAAAAAUGUUCACCUUGUCCAAAAAAUUAGGUUUCGAUGGUGACAAUUAUUUCUGGUAUUUUUAAAAUUUGUUUUAUAUUUAAUUAGGAUUUUUCUCUCGGACGAAAUUUAUUUUUAAAAAAAUUCAGACCGACCGGGCCGAAGGCCCGGCCGGCCCAACAGGCCGCCGCCGCCUUCCCUGCACGGGAACCGCCCCGCCGCCGCCGACCGUGUCCGAGGCGGACACGCCUCCCGAGGCCGUCACCCACUCGCCCAAGCCACCCCAUCGCCACCUCGUCCAUCUUUAUAAGGAGCCCCCGCCCCCUCUCCUCAUUACCGCUGCCACAACCACCUCCAUCUGAGCCGCCGCCGCUGCUGCUGCCCCGCACCGCACCCCGCGCCACCCCGCCUCACCGUCGACCGGAGCCGCUGCACGCCGUUGACCGCCGCCGCCGUUUAACGGUAUAAAACCGUCUCGGUUCAUCGGUUCUUUUUCAAUCUUUUUUCGGUUCUUCGGUUUUAGAUCGGUUUUAUUUUAUGGUUCGCUAAUUAGCAAACGUUCUUUGUUUAGUUUGUUUUAACAAACGAAUUCAUUCGUUAGCCUCUGUUAGUGGACGUUCGUCUAGUAGAUUUUUUUAUAUUUUAAUUUUCGGCCAGGGACCUAUCCACGAUUACUUUUAUCACAGAUUAGUCCCUGACCUUCAAACCCUCGCUACUUUUUGCUUGUUUAUCCAAAUCCAGUGAAACCAACGCCAAAAUCUUGAUCUUGUCCCCUCUUUCCAGCUAAUCAACUUGAACAUGAUUUUGAUAAUUUAAAAUUUGGUUGCAAGCAGAUUUGAAUUCGAACUUCUUUUGAUCGUAGUUUGAGUUUCGUAACUCCGAUUCGAUUGAUUCUUUUUGCAAAUCGAAGCUCUUCAGUCGAACUUUCAGUUUGGAUCUUUUCUCUUGAGUUUUAACCUUGCAUCUUACGCUUGAGUGCUUAUGUAUGCUAUUGUUUGUCUACGAUAGAGUUUCCGGAGUGCGAAGCGUGCUACUACGAGUAACUAGGGUUUUCAGAUCGUCAGCAAGGCAAGUAACACUUUGAUCAUAUCCCUUAUUACCCAGUUUUUAUGCAUUAGUUUCAAUCCUCAAACAUUGCAUGAGUAGGAUCUGUUUAACAUGUGGGUAUUGGGAAGUAUUUGUUGAGGUAGUACCUAUUGCCCUUUUAUUCAAACCUCAUGAGUUACUACGUUACACUUAUUAUACUUUGCUAUGCUAUGCUCGUAGACCUGGUUUGGUUUGAGUGAUUCAUGAUAGAUGUGAGUAUUAUUAUGAACUAAUGGAUUACUUAAGUUGGCUACUUUAAUACACAUUUGGGUGGAUUGGUUUGUGGGCACCUUGGGAAAUCUAGUGCUGUCCAAGGAGAAUCCCGGGGUAUCCGUGUGAUUUUUCCUAUGGUUCGCCACCUAGGCUCAAAGGGAUCAUUAUGUUAUUCAUGCUGGAAACUUCCGUGUGCAGCCACAAGCCAUUAUGGGCUCUGGCAUAGUUGAGUAAGUUGUGGGAAAGCUUUCCAUGAUGGGCUAGCAGAUGUAGGGGAUUGUAGGUGUACCGGCCUAUCUAUUCGUUAAGGGGACCUCUUUAAAAAGACAGUGUCUCAGCCAUCCAUUUCUCAAACACCAUGCAGUGCGAGAAAUACAACGGAGGAGAUCGAGUCUUGUGGGGAAAAGUGCGCAAACCUAUGCAGAGUGUAUGAAACUAAUCAUGGUUAGCCGUGUCCCCGGUUAUGGACAUCUUGAGUAUCUGGUGCUUGAAUUACUAUGUUGAUCUCUCACUUUACUUAAUUAAUCUGUGGGGUUAUUGAUUAUUAAUUUGCGAUUGAGAUGGGGUUACCAUUCUCAAUAUUUUUCAACAAACUUUGUAGUUAAAUAAAAUAUAUUCCUUUGUUGUAGGGAAAACUGGCUUUUCGCAAAAUGUUAACCGUAGAGCCUCCACCAGCCGUAUAUGCAUAUAGUUAUACUUGUUACUUGUUCAUUGCUCUAUAGUGUUAUCUUGCCAGCAUAUUCCAUGUGCUGACCUACACAGGAUGCAAUGUAUUAUGUUGCAGAAUUUCAGACGAAGAGUAAGGUGCGCUAGGUCAUUGUCAUGCACUCAGCUAUGCCGUUGGAGUUGAUGGACUCAUUUACUCUCGAAGCUUCCGCGGUUAUCUUAUUUUAGAUGGCCUUCAGCCAUAUUAUUGUAAUAAGUACUCUCUUUGAGACAUUAGAUGUAAUAAGUGUGUGAUUGCACUCCGUUAUAAAUCCUCGAGUACUGUGUGUGUUAGCAUUACCGAUCCAGGGAUGACACUUAUACACAGAGGUUUGACCAUUUGAGGUCGGAUCGCUACAGAAACUUCCUAGCAGGUAUGUACUGGGUCGACAUGAACUUCCACUGGAUGGCUGCCGUCAGACAAGACCAGAAAAUGUUGAUGCUCAUGAACUUCCACACCUCCCAUGAGAUUAUCCUUCCUAUGUUCGAUUAUGUAGGAUUUUACCGUCGCGGUCCAAGUCAUCUAGAUUAUGAAGUCAGUGGGACACACCUUGUUUUGCGGAAGAUUGUAAUCUGCCAAGUGCCCACACGAGAUGUGAAUUGCGCAGACUUCGAGCUAAUUGCCUUGUUCGACCGCGGACUGGCCUAUCUUUUCGCUGGUGCCUUCUUUAGCUGGAGACAGCUCACCUCGCAGUGGAUCGUCAAAGCUGAUACACACUUAUGUGAUGCUAUUGAACACAGUAGCAUAAUCUACAUGAUCGACAAAGCAGAUGGCACCACGUAUUGCUGGGACGGCGCAUGUAAGUUGUUUCCGUCUGAUGUUAAUGAUGACGCCAUGACACUGUUUGAACUUUUUAUGAUGAUUGACAUAUCCCUGUUUGAGAAGAAUUUGAGUAGAACUAUGGCAAUGUAUUAGAGACACCAUAAAUUAGCUAUAUUUGGAAUGAGUUAAUUCAUGCGAUUGUGACCAUGUCACUACAGCCAAUUUGUACCCCUGAAUAAUCAAACGGUUAGGAAGAUAUGGAUAUUCUCCUUAUUUAUAGUAAUUUAUAUACUACUAAAUAUGAGUAUGUAUCAAUGGCCAUGUUAGUUUCCUCAUUUUCAUGAUGUAGAAACAUGCAUCACACCCUUGGUUUCAUCUAACCAUACAUUAGGGAAGUAAAUGUGUAUAUGGAGAACUCUAUAUUUGGAAGUAGUGAAAUCCUGUAAUGCUUACCAUGUGUACGUACCUAUAUUCUCCCUUCAGCAAUCAAUGGCUAGAAUAAUAUCCUCACAAAAAAUUGCCCACAAAACAUGAGUAUAUAACAAUGCAUGGUCUGUUAGUUUCCUUGAAGAAUUUGUUUGUGAGGAAAGAACAUGAUUACAUAACAUGCAUGACAUGGUAGUUUCCUGUGAAGAAUCGAUUGCGAGAUAACAUGAGUAUAACCAUGCAUGCCACUUCUAUAUUUUCGAACCCAGCAUACAUUUCCCUAUAUUUUCCUCCCAGUUCCAACAGGGACAUAUCAAUGUUGUUUCUUGCAUUAUCCUACUCAUACUCUAAACAAUGCUGAUCUUACAUUAACAAUGCCUGCCCUUUUUGAUAUGAUGCAGUGUCCCUACAGUUACUACCCUUUGUAAUCACAUCACCUUUGCCAAAAACAGGGAAGCACAACUGGUUCCUCGCUCGAUCAUACGAUGGCAAAAUACUGAUGAUCAUUUGGACACAUGAGCCGGAAAAGUUAUAUUGCAAAAACCCCACCGUGUACAACCACCGUGAAAUACGUGAGUAUCUGGACAGUGGUUGUUACGUCUAUGAGCAAGAUAUCAGCUUUUGGGGCUUUAGGAUUUUUGAGUUGGAGGCUGGUAAACAGCCUUGGUUCACACUCUCUGUUUCUCGGACUCAAGUAUCUGAUUAACCAGGAGAUCACCGUUGGCAAGGACCUUAAUGGCAGAGAGGCCAUGUUUGCUAUGGAAAGCUGUGUCUACACGGCGAGCCCUAGGACUUCGGGAGCAAACUCCCCUGAUUGUCAAUGAUACAGCCUGCAACCAAAAGAAGGUGUGAAUGACAAAGGCAUCUGGAUUAACUUUGAUCCUUGGAUGUCUCAUGUCCGAUGGGCAGUGAUGUGAUUCAAGCCUUCAGGUUGAUAGGUAAUUGGGCUGUUGCGUCGAAAGGGUGGAGUACUAGUGUCUCCGGAUCACUGGUCGCUGAAGUGGGGCUGCAAAUUAUCAUGGUGUUGGAUCAUCCCUCUUCGAAUGACUUGUUGUCUUUGCUGCUUGUUCUGGAUGAGUAGUUCUCUCUUUUGUUAUGCAUAUUCCUUGUCAUUUGGUCAUCCUCGUCUAUAUCACUCUUACUAUGUAAUAGUUGCCUCUAUUUAGAAUGCCAUUCUUUUCUAGAUCACGAGAGUCUGAGCGCUAUAGAUGGGUGCGUUUUCGUGGUGUAGCAAGACUUCUUAUGAACUAUCAUGUCUUGCUAUUUAUGUCAGUAGUAGUCACUAGUCGGUGUUUGAAUGUUGUAUAUAUCAUUGUUUCGAACUAUUUAUUGUCUCAAACUAUUGGUGGGCUAAAUGAGGGCAUCACCAUUCUCCAGUGUUCAGAGUAUAUCUCCUUUUUUCAAGUUAUUAUUUGAGCUCGGUGUCUUUUCGAUGAUGUACACUUGUUUGGGAUAGUGAUGUCUCGUUGAAUAUGGGCCGAGUAGUAACGCAAUGCCAAACAUGUCAAUUAUGACUCUCAGGCCGGGCUCUCAAAAGAUCCUCAAAAAAGGCCGGGCUCUCAAAAAAAGAAUAAGGACUCUUAGUACUACAAAAAAAGACACUUCCGUGAUGAUACGUGUUUGUCAUAGUAGGUCACAUUUUCUGUCAUGCAUGUACAUCCAUGACAAUUUUAUGACAGAAUCAAGAUAGUCAUACCUGUGCUGUCAUAGAAGUGUUUCAUGACAUUACCAAAAUUAUCAUCACAGAAGUGUCCACUUCCAUGACGAUAAAUCGCGCGUCAUGGAAGUGCUUUCGUCAAGGGUGACUGAUAACCCACAAGUAUAGGGGAUCGCAACAGUUUUUGAUAAGUAAGAGUGUCAAACCCAACGAGGAGCUAAAGGCAGAACAAAUAUUCCCUCAAGUUCUAUCGACCACUGAUACAACUCUACGCACGCUUGAUGUUCGCUUUACCUAGAACAAGAUGACACUAGAAGUACUUUGUAGGUGUUGUUGGAUAGGUUUGCAAGAUAAUAAAGAUUACAUAAAUAAAAAUUAGGGGAUGUUUAGGUAAAGACACAACUAAGUUAGUUUUAGUAAAGAGCUUUUUGUUAUGAGAAAGUUAUUUUUCCCUAGGCAAUCGAUAACUAGAUCGAUAAUCAUUAUUGCAAUUUUAUAUGAGGGAGAGGCAUAAGCUAACAUACUUUCUCUACUUGGAUCAUAUGCACUUAUGAUUGGAACUCUAGCAAGCAUCUGCAACUACGAAAGAUCAUUAAGGUAAAACCCAACCAUAGCAUUAAAACAUCAAGUCCUCUUUAUCCCAUACGCAACAACCCCCUUACUCGGGUUUGUGUUUCAGUCACUCAUGCAACCCACUAUAAGCGAAUCAUGAACGUAUUGCAACACCCUGCAGCGGGGAUCCCUCAUGCUUGCGCGACACAGAGAGCACCAUAGGACAUCACCAAUAAUAAAACAUGCAACUCAAACCAAUCUUUAUCAUCAAAUAGCCCAUAGGACAAAAUAGAUCUACUCAAACAUCAUAGGAUAGCCAUACAUCAUUGGGAAAAAAUAUAUAGCGUUGAGCACCAUGUUUAAGUAGAGAUUAUAGCGGGUAAGAGAGAGGUUACACCACUGCAUAGAGGGGGGAAGAGUUGGUGAUGAUGGUGGUGAAGUUGUUGGUGAAGAUUGCGGUGAUGAUGAUGGCCCCCGAUGGCAGUCCGGCGCCACUGGAAGCGAGGGGGAGAGAGCCCCCUCCUCCUUCUUCUUCUUCUUCCUUGACCUCCUCCCUAGAUGGGAGAAGGGUUUCCCCUCUGGUCCAUGGCCUCCAUGGCACGGGAGGGGCGAGAGCCCCUCCGAGAUUGGAUCUGUCUCUCUGUCUCUCUCUGUUUCUGCGUUCUCAGAUUCUACCCUUUCACCGUUUCUUAUAUUCCCGGAGAUCCAUAACUCCGAUUGGGCUGAAAUUUUAACACGAUCUCUAUCCGGAUAUUAGCUUUCUUGCGGCGAAAGAAGGGCAUCAACCGCCUUAUGGGGUGUCCAUGAGGGUCAGGGGCGUGCGCCCCUGCCUCGUGGCUCCCUCGGGCAUCGUCUCGCGUGGACUUUUCUUCCCAAAAAUCAUAUAUAUUCCAAAAAAAAUCUCCGUCAGUUUUUAUCCCGUUUGGACUCCAUUUGAUUGGAUAUUCCGCGAAACAAAAAACAUGCAACAAACAUGAACUGGCACUGGGCACUGGAUCAAUAUGUUAGUCCCAAAAAUAGUAUAAAAAGUUGCCAAAAGUAUAUGAAAGUUGUAUAAUAUUGGCAUGGAACAAUCAAAAAUUAUAGAUACGACGGAGACGUAUCAGCAUCCCCUAGCUUAAUUCCUGCUCGUCCUCGAGUAGGUAAAUGAUAAAAAAGAUAAUUUUUGAUGUGGAAUGCUACCUAGCAUAAUCUUGAUCACAUAUCUAAUCAUGGCAUGAAUAUUAAGACACCAGUGAUUCAAAGCAAUAGUCUAUCAUUUGACAUAAAAACAAUAGUACUUCAAGCCUACUAAUAAAGCAAUCAUGUCUUUUCAAAAUAUCAUGGCCAAAGAAAGUUAUCCCUACAAAAUCAUAUAGUCUGGCUAUGCUCCAUCUUCACCACACAAAAUAUUCACAACAUGCACAACCCCGAUGACAAGCCAAGCAAUUGUUUCAUACUUUUGACAUUCUCAAACCUUUUCAACUUUCACACAAUACAUGAGCGUGAGCCAUGGACAUAACACUAUAGGUGGAAUAGAAUGGUGGUUGUGGAGAAGACAAAAAGGAGAAGAUAGUCUCACAUCAACUAGGCGUAUCAACGGGCUAUGGAGAUGCCCAUCAAUAGAUAUCAAUGUGAGUGAGUAGGGAUUGCCAUGCAACGGAUGCACUAAGAGCUAUAAGUGUAUGAAAGAUCAGACUGAAAACUAAGUGGGUGUGCAUCCAACUUGCUUGGUCAUGAAGACCUCAGGCAUUUGAGGAAGCCCAUCAUCAGAAUAUACAAGCCAAGUUCUAUAAUGAAAAUUCCCACUAGUAUAUGAAAGUGAUAACUCAAGAGACUCUCUAUAUGAAGAACAUGGUGCUACUUUGAAGCACAAGUGUGGCAAAAUUGCCCCUUCUCUAUUUUUCUCUCAUUUUUUGGGGCCUUCUCUUUUUUUGGCCUUUCUCUUAUUUUUUAUUUUUUUUAUUUUGUUCGUCCGGAGUCUCAUCCCGACUUGUGGGGGAAUCAUAGUCUCCAUCAUCCUUUCCUCACCGGGGCAAUGCUCUAAUAAUGAUGAUCAUCACACUUUUAUUUUCUUACAACUGAAUAUUACAACUCGAUACUAGAACAAAGAUAUGACUCUAUAUGAAUGCCUCCGGCGGUGUACUGGGAUGUGCGAUGAUCUAGCGUAGCAAUGACAUCAAAAAAUGGACAAGCCAUGAAAACAUCAUGCUAGCUAUCUUACGAUCAUGCAAAGCAAUACGACAAUGAAUGCUCAAGUCAUGUAUAUGAUGAUAAUGGAAGUUGCAUGGCAAUAUAUCUCGGAAUGGCUAUGGAGAUGCCAUGAUAGGUAGGUAUGGUGGCUGUUUUGAGGAAGGUAUAUGGUGGGUUUAUGGUACUGGUGAAAGUUGCGCGGUACUAGAGAGGCUAGCAAUGGUGGAAGGGUGAGAGUGCGUAUAAUCCAUGGACUCAACAUUAGUCAUAAAAAACUCACAUGCUUAUUGCAAAAAUCUAUUAGUCAUCAAAACAAAAUACUAUGCGCAUGCCCCUAGGGGGAUAGAUUGGUAGGAAAAGACCAUCGCUCGUCCCCGACCGCCACUCAUAAGGAAGACAAUCAAUAAAUAAAUCAUGCUCCGACUUCGUUACAUAACGGUUCACCAUACAUGCAUGCUACGGGAAUCACAAGCCUCAACACAAGUAUUUCUACAAUCCACAACUACCCACUAGCAUGACUCUAAUAUCACCAUCUUUAUAUCGCAAAACUAUUGCAAGGAAUCAAACAUAUCAUAUUCAGUGAUCUACAAGUUGUAUGUAGGAUUUUAUGACUAACCAUGUGAAUGACCAAUUCCUGCCAUCUCUCUAAAUAGAUAUAAGUGAAGCAAGAGAGUUUAAUUCUUUCUACAAAAGAUAUGCCCACGCUCUAACAAAUAUAAGUGAACCAAAAGAGCAUUCUACAAAUGGCGGUUUUCUAUGUAAAGAGAAACAUGCAAUCCAAACUUCAAAUGAUAUAAGCGAAGCACAUGAAGCAUUCUAUAAAGCCAUACUCAAAAGAUAUAAGUGAAGUGCAUAGAGCAUUCUAUAAAUCAACCAAGGACUAUCUCAUACCAUCAUGGUGCAUAAAAGAAAAAUGAAAACUAAAUGCAAAAGACGCUCCAAGAUUGCACAUAUCACAUGAAUGAAACGAAUCUGAAAACAUACCGAUACUUGUUGAAGAAAGAGGGGAUGCCUUCCGGGGCAUCCCCAAGCUUAGACGCUUGAGUAUCCUUGAAUAUUUACUUGGGGUGCCUCGGGCAUCCCCAAGCUUCAGCUCUUGCCUCUCUUCCUUCUUCUCACAUCGAGACCUCAUCGAACACUUCAUCCACACAAAACUUCAACAGAAAACUCGGUAAGAUCCGUUAGUAUAAUAAAGCAAAUCACUACUCUAAGUACUGUUGAAAACCAAUUCAUAUUUUUUUUGCAUUGUGUCUACUGUAAUAUAACUUUUUCAUGGCUUAAUCCACUGAUAUGAAUAGAUAGUUUCAUCAAAACAAGCAAACUAUGCAUCAAAAACAGAAUCUGUCUAAAACAGAACAGUCUGUAAUAAUCUGAACAUUCACCAUACUUACGAUACUUGAAAAAUUCUGACAAAAUUAGGAAAAAUAAAAACUUUGUAUAUAAAGACAGUGCAAAAAGAAUCAGAACCAUUUGACGUCCCAGCUAAAAAUGUAAAAUCGCGCUUUACAGCCAAAGUUUCUGUCCUGCACCGUACAAACCAUCAAGCAAAUGUAAACAUCCUAAAGGCAAACCUUGGCACAUUAUUUUGAUAAUAAAAUGGAAUUGUACAAGGGGAUAAUUAUUUUUGUUGAAAAGUUUCUGUAAUCAAGAUUCACAAAGUUGCCGUGAGCAUGAACAAAGUUCAAGGAGCUCUCCCACUUCAACAAUGCUUGUCUUUCUCACUUUCACUUUCCUUUUUGAAAAAGUUUUGGGUUCCCCUCUUUAUUUUAUUUUGUUUUUAAACUAUAUAAAAGCACUCAACAGAAAUAAAUGCCUCUCUAAAACUUCCGGGUUGUCUCCCUGGCAGCGCUUUCUUUAAAGCCAUUAAGCUAGGCAUAUAGUGCUCAAGUAAUGGAUCCACCCGGAUCCCAAGGUAUAUCAAAGCCAUUUUUAACUAACAAUGAUUUCUAAUUUAGUAGUGAGCACAAAGUAACAUAUAUCAUGUAGCAAGGAAGUCUAACUCUCUUCCUAUGCAUCGGCAUGUCAUAAAAGAACAAUGCAUGCACACAUAGUGAAGGCCAAUGCAUAGUAUAAACAGUUCCUUGCAAUUUUAUUGUAUUGGAAACAUAGAGAGGUGGAGAUAUAGUUCCUCUCUCAUAAUAAUUGCAAGUAGGAGCAGCAAGCACAUGCAUAUUAUAUUCAUCAAAAUCAUCAUGUGUAAUAGUAAAACUCAACCCAUCAAUAUAAUCCUUAAUAAGUGCAAACUUCUUCGAUAUAGUGUAGUCAGGAGAAUUCAAAAAGAUAAUAGGACUAUCAUGCGUGGGUGCAAUAGCAACAAUUUCAUGUUUAACAUAAGGAACUAUAGCAAGUUCAUCUCCAUAAGCAUAAUUCAUAUUGGCAUCUUGGCCACAAGCAUAACAAGCAUCAUCAAAAAGGGAUAUUUCAAAAGAAUCAACGGGAUCAUAGCAAUUAUCAUAGCAUUCAUCCUUCGGUAAGUAUGAAGGGAAAUUAAACAAUGUAUGAGUUGAAGAGUUACUCUCAUUAGAAGGUGGGCACGGGUGAUCAAUCCGCUCUUCCUCCUUUUGUUCUUCGCUCUCUUCCUCAUCUUUUUCAUCCAAUGAGCUCACAGUUUCAUCAACUUCUUCUUCCAUAGAUUCCUGCAAAAUAUUAAUCUCUUCUUGGACAGCAGAGACUUUCUCAAUAAGUGCAUUAAUAUCGGAAUUGUAUUCAUAACUCUCAUAGCAAUAUUUAAGGAUACCUAAAUUUUCAGAUCUGUAAACCGGAUCAUCAAAAUCUUCAAACUCUUUAAACAUAGAUUCAAUUUCAUAAGCACCCAUAAAAGUAACAAAUUCUUCUAUUUGUUCCACAUCAUUGUAAUCAUAUAUACCAUUAGCAUAAGAAGCUAAGGUUUUAUUAUCAUUAAAUUCACAUAAAAAGGGAAGGUGUGGAGCCUUCAUCCUAGAGCAACAAGUAUAAUCAUAUCUCAAGAUAGUUGCCUAGCAUACCAAUUCAAUAUAUGAAUUUGAUCCCAUAAUAGUUUCCCUAUUUGUGUCAAGCGAUAAUCCCUAAAGUAUUCACGUUGAUCCAAUGUUACUCCCAUUACAUAAUUGAAUGGGGUUUUCUCAGGAUUAUUAAAGUAGUACAUAAUAUCUUUCACAUAACCAACAUCAAGGGUUUUAGGAGGUUCCUCAUCUCCAUGAGUAGCAAGUACACCUAAUUUUUUGGUAUUUCGUGUUCCAUAUCCAUAACUAAAGAUAUUGAACAACUAAGAACAGCAAAUAAAAAUUACUUAGUGAUAAAGCAAACAAGCACACACGAGAAUAUUCACCCCACGCUAUUGCUCCCCGGCAACGGCGCCAGAAAAAGGUCUUGAUAACCCACAAGUAUAGGGGAUCGCAACAGUUUUCGAUAAGUAAGAGUGUCGAACCCAACGAGGAGCUAAAGGCAGAACAAAUAUUCCCUCAAUUUCUAUCGACCACCGAUACAACUCUACGCACGCUUGAUGUUCGCUUUACCUAGAACAAGUAUGAAACUAGAAGUACUUUGUAGGUGUUGUUGGAUAGGUUUGCAAGAUAAUAAAUAUUACGUAAAUAAAAAGUAGGGGCUGUUUAGGUAAUAACAAAACUAAGUUAGUUUUAGUAAAGAGCUUUUUGUUAUGAGAAAGUUAUUUGUCCCUAGGCAAUCGAUAACUAGACCGAUAAUCAUUAUUGCAAUUUUAUAUGAGGGAGAGGCAUAAGCUAACAUACUUUCUCUACUUGGAUCAUAUGCACUUAUGAUUGGAACUCUAGCAAGCAUCCGCAACUACUAAAAAUCAUUAAGGUAAAACCCAACCAUAGCAUUAAAGCAUCAAGUCCUCUUUAUCCCAUACGCAACAACCCCCUUACUUGGGUUUGUGUUUCAAUCACUCACGCAACCCACUACAAGCGAAUCAUGAACGUGUUACAACACCCUACAGCGGGGAUCCCUCACGCUUGCGCGACAUGGAGAGCACCAUAGGACAGCACCAAUAAUAAAACAUGCAACUCAAACCAAUCUUGAUCAUCAAAUAGCCCAUAGGACAAAACAGAUCUACUCAAACAUCAUAGGAUAGCCAUACAUCAUUGGGAAAAAAUAUAUAGCGCUGAGCACCAUGUUUAAGUAGAGAUUAUAGCGGGUAAGAGAGAGGUUACACCGCUGCAUAUAGGGGGGAAGAGUUGGUGAUGAUGGUGGUGAAGUUGUUGGUGAAGAUUGCGGUGAUGAUGAUGGCCCCCGGUGGCACUCCGGCGCCACCGGAAGCGAGGGGGAGAGAGCCCCCUCCUUAUUCUUCUUCCUUGACAUCCUUCCUAGAUGGGAGAAGGGUUUCCCCUCUGGUCCAUGGCCUCCAUGGCACGGGAGGUGCGGGAGCCCCUCCGAGAUUGAAUAUGUCUCUCUGUCUCUCUCUCUCUAUUUCUGCGUUCUCAGAUUCUACCCUUUCACCGUUUCUUAUAUUCCCGAAGAUCCGGAACUCCGAUUGGGCUGAAAUUUUAACACGACGUCUAUCUAGAUAUUAGAUUUCUUGCGGCAAAAGAAGGGCAUCAACCGCCUUACGGGGUGGCCACGAGGGUCAGGGGCGCGCCCCCUGCCUCGUGGCCCCCUCGGGUAUCGUCUCGCGUGGAUUUUUCUUCCCAAAAAUCAUAUAUAUUCCAAAAAAAAUCUCCGUCAGUUUUUAUCCCGUUUGGACUCCGUUUGAUAUGGAUAUUUUGCGAAACAAAAAACAUGCAACAAACAGGAACUGGCACUGGGCACUGGAUCAAUAUGUUAGUCCCAAAAAUAGUAUAAAAAGUUGCCAAAAGUAUAUGAAAGUUGUAUAAUAUUGGCAUGGAACAAUAAAAAAUUAUAGAUACGACGGAGGCGUAUCAAUGACCGACACAUGGCAUCCACCGUAACAGGUCGCCGUUAAGCUAUCGGGUCCGGUUUUGGAUCUGAUAACCUGCUAACAGCCCAGACCAAUGAGGAUUUUCCACAUGUAAAAUUCUCAUUGGCCGGAGGAAACACGUGUUGGCUCACCUUGGGACAGAUGUCAUCCAUUCAUUGGACAGGAGGCACCUAUGAGACGUCGACACGUGUCACGGCCCAACAGAGGCCCAUUUCGGUGAAAAGGCCAGCCCGUUUGACUUGGUGAAAAGGUAACAGGCCGGCCCACGGAAAGCCUGUUAACGGCCUGUUCGUAUAUAGCCCAUUACGGUCCGCUAACUCAUGGCCCGUUACGGGCUAUCGGAAUUAAGCCCAGUAGCUUCAUCUAGGCCGUCCAAUAUGAUUCCAGCCCAUUGUGACUUCCGGCCCAUGUAUGGCCCAUAAUGUAUUUCGGCCCAUAUGUGGCCCUUCGUAACUCUGGGCCCAAUAAAGGCCCGAGAUGAAAUUGGCCCAUAAUGAACAGUGUAUCACUUUAUACCCAUUAACGGCCUAGUAUUCCGUCGGCCGUUUCCAGCCCAUGUUAACUUUCAGCCUUCUAAGGGCCCAUUUAUUCUUGGGCUCAUUUCUAGAAUUCAGUUAGUUACGGUCCAUUAUUGGCAUGUUCCGUUUGUGGGCCAAAUUCAGCCCGUGUUUACAUUGGGCAUGUUUGUGGCCCGUUAACCCAUUGGGCUGUUUUCAUAGUGUUAUCAAAUACGGCCUAUUAACGACCCGUUAUGGUCCAUGAAUAGUAUGUCCCAUGUUUGGCGAAAUGAUCAUACGCCUCGUAGAAGGCCCAUGGACCCUACGGCCCAUAGAAGACCAAUGGACCCUACGGCCCAUAGAGGCCCAUGGAUCAUAAGGCCCAUAGAAAGUCCAUGGAUCCUAUGGCCCGUAGAAGGCCCAUGGAUCCUACGGCCCACAGGAGGCCCAUGGUUACAACAGUCCGUGUGCUGCCAUGAUUAUUGUGGCCUAGUUACCAAAAAUAGGUUAUUGUGGCCACUAGAAAAACGCAGAAAAAGAACUGCAGUGAUUACAAGCAAACAACUAAACAAGACAAUAAGGAAAUAAAAUAAGCAAGCAACUAACGCUAGCCUAUUACAGCUAUUACACAUAUUACAUCCACUUGGCAUCAAAUUCGCCACCAGUGCAAAUAUAGGGAACAAAGCGGCAUAUUACAUACACUGGCCGCCAAAAUUGGCCACCAGUGCAAAUAAACGCGGCAGCAAAACAAGAGCAUAACUGAAACAACUUUAGAAGAUCUCAAGAAACGUUCUCUUGGGUAUCCAUCAUGCUGGCAAUAAGUUUAGCAAGCUUAUUAGCUUUGUCCUGUUUGGCGCUAAAAUCCUCCAACACUUGUUGUUGCACUAGAAAGUAUGCAUCUGAAUGCUCCAGGGACUUCCGUAGUCCUUCCGCUUCUUGUCGCAGCAUAGCUGAUCAAUGUCUUUCAGCUUGUAGUUGAGACUCAAGAAACUGAACUGAUUCAGGCAGUGAGUUUGAAUAGCUUGUGCAAGCGGUAGUGGCCAUUAAUCCAAACACUAAACCAAGACAGGACUUUUGGGUUGUCUCACUGUCUUCAAGAUAGUCUUCCUUAGCUAUUUUAUCAGCUUUGUUGGAUACCAACAAGGAUAUCUCACUAUCCUGAACCUUAUCUAGCAUUACUUCCUUUACCAUUGCUUAAUAAGGCAAUCUUCCCCAAUAUUCUGCCAGCAUUCUAAAAGAAGAAACAAGCAGACACAUAACAGGUUUAGCAUGUAUUAGUAUAUGAAACUCAUUUCAGCGAACCAGUUCAUUAGUAAGGUGGACAGGAUUAAACUACUAAGUCUUCUAUUGCCAAGUACUAGUACAUAAUAAAAGCAUCAAACAAACAUAUAUCUAUGUCCUAUGGUCAUUGCAUUGUCUUGCCAAAUCAAAAUAGAGACACGGUUCAAAUCAUAUCAGUUCAAGAAAAAGCAGCAGUGAAAGAAUACAAAGUGUGGGAAACUACAGGCACAACAAGAUUUCAGAUGGGUACGGCGGGUCUACAUGUACAACAACACUAUUGGCUCUGUUGUGAUGCUAGUAAUGUGCAUGAUAUGAGAAGUCAACUCUAUACGCAAUUGAAAUUGAAGUCAACAGAGUUAUUGAUAAGAGCAAACCUGUUAAAGAAACAUGCGUGAACAUACCUGCUGUGCCAUUGGAGUAUCGAUUGGAUCCUUCAAUUUAAAAUAAGUUUGUAUGAGUAAAUACAAUGAUACAAGAGCAAAGCAGUAUGCAUGAUAGCAAUGGAAUCUUAAAUUAGAACAGUUGUUCUUCAGGUUUAAGCACUUGUUCUACAUGAACAGAGUAUAGUAAGACACAAGAAUAUAGUACUUAAAAAAAUGAGCUCAUAGACCUUACCACAUUCUUGGUUUGGGACCAGUACAGAACAAGCGUUCCCAGUCAUCGUCCAGUAAAUGUGUCUCAGGAGAGCGUAAGGGGAUUUGAUGAGUUUCUUUGCCAGUGAAGUACGUUUUAUCCAGGUAAUUCCGAUAUUGCCACCAAGCAUUCUUGAAGAUAGCAGAGGUAUUAGCACAGGUUACCUCAUCCUGGGUUUCCAAAUCGGUCCUUCUCUAGAGAGAAAAAUGGGAAAGUUUGAUGUAUUAUAACCAUCAUGGAGGUAGAAUGUAUGGGACAAAGCAAAGUAGUUGCCAUGAAUAACAUUACUUACACAUAAAUCCUGGAAAAACACCUGCAACUGGCAUUUUCCUUGAUCUUCAGUAUAAUAUUUCCAAGAUGGGAAGAUACGCACAUAGGAUUUCACAACAUCAAAUGCGAUAGAUGCUAAACUACGACUGGCUGGUUGUGCUUCCGACAUAGGAAAAGGCGUACUGACUGGUGGAGUUGGGGUUCGCCGUGCUAGUACUGGCCCUUUGGGCACUCAAGCUGCCUUACUAACUGCUCUUGUUUGGGAGCUCUAUGGUGGAGAUGGUGUUGUGUCAACAGGAACUGGGUUACUAUCUGCUGGGGCUGGGGUUAGAUUGGGUGAAGCUGGUUCUCUGACCAUUGCAGUAGGGGUACAAUCUGUGAGAGUCUAGGUUAUGUCUGAUAGGGCUGGUUCUCGUGCAUGUACAACCGGGGUGCUAUCUCCACCAAGAGGUAGCACUGUUUUAUUUGAAGAUCGUGUUUUUACUCCGCUAGGUACUGCCAUCAGCCACUCCAAUUCAAAUGGCUGAUAAACAGGAAACAUAAUUGAAUGUACAAACAUUGUAUGAGAGACAUAUGCAAUAGAUAGUAUGGAAAAAAGAGGGCAUGAAAUAGUUGACAUGUAUAUUGUUUAACUAAAACGGAUAGUAGGACAUAAUUUCACAUAUAUGAUGUCUAUCUAAACUGGAUAGCAUAGCAUAACAUAAUUCAAAGAUAUGAUGAAUAACUAAACAAGAUUGCAUGACAUAAUUCACAUACAUGUUAUCUAAGUAAUCAGGAUCGCAUGAUUUAAUUCACAUAUGUGAUUUAUAUGCUAAACAGAGGGCAUUCGAUAUGAUGUCUGAACUAAGAACAUGGUGUUGAAUAUUGUGUAUAUGAUGUCUAAACUAUGCAAUGCAAGACACCAUAUGCAAAACUAUGCCAAGUUAGAGCAUACACCUUGGUGGGGGAAUAGGACUGGUCAUCUGUCUUUGAAUCCGUCUCUAAGGAGCUAUCGGGACCCAACAAGAGAUCUGCUCUGACAGGUAGCACUGUCUGCUCUGAAGGCCUUGUUUUCACACCAGAUUUUUCCAUCUCCCACCCAAAUGGCUGAUUCAUGGGAAGAGUAGUUUAAUGUACAAACAUUGUCGACAAAUGGAAAUUGCAACUGCAUUCAGUCGACUAGAGGGGGGUGAAUAGGCUAUUUUUAUGAAUUCUUCACUGAGGAAUUUCAGGGUGAGGAAAUUCCUAAGAGAAGAACUACUUGCAGCGGAAUAAGUACUCAGAUGCAAACAUAACAGACCAUAAGCAUGGUCAUCAUGACGAAAUGAAAACAAGCACAGAGCACAGAAAGCGUAAACACAGGAUAAACAGAACGAAGACAAACAAACUGAAGAAAUUUAACUGAGGAAAUUGAGAAAGUCUUCAGUCAAAGUCUUGAAAAAGAUAUGAACAAGCACAUAACACAAUAAUGAGGAAAUGGAAGGGUUGAGGAAAUAGAACCAGUUAGCUCGGUGAAGACAAUGAUUUGGUAGACCAGUUCCAACUGCUGUGACGGUUGUACGUCUGGUUAGGGCGGCUAGGUAUUCAAACCUGAGGACACACAGUCCCGGACACCCAGUCCUGAACACACAGUCUAGGACACUUAGUCCUCACCGUAUUCCCCUUGAGCUAAGUUCACACAGACCUCGCCCAAUCACUCGUGGUAAGUCUUCAGGUGACAUCCAAACCUUCACAAACUAGGUCACUCGGCGAUCCACAAUUUCCUCUUGGAUGCUCUAGAGCAUGACGCCUAACCAUCUGGAAGAUGCACAGUCUUCAAAGGUAACAAGCGUCGGAUCCACAUAGGAUCAAUCUCUUCAGUGAUGCUCAAUCACUUUGGGUUUGUAGGUGUUUGGGUUUGGGUUUUCCUCACUUGAUGAUUUUUUCUCAAAGUCCUCGGAGGAUGGGAUGCUCUCAAAUGACAAGUGUCAGUUUCUCGCAGAGCAGCCAACCAGCUAGUGGUUGUAGGGGGCGGCUAUUUAUAGCCUAGGGAGUAGCCUAACAUGAUAAGACAUAAAUGCCCUUCAAUGAUAUGACUGUUAGGUGGGAAGAUAUUUUGGGACAGUUGGCGCGUAGCACAACAACGGUCGGAAAUUUGACUAUCAAAUUCCUCAGGGCUAUCAUGUUCCUCACUUGUAGGCAAUCCGCACUGGCGAAUUCCUAACUCCUCAGUCAGAACAAAUUCCUUGGAGACUAGAAGAACAUCGUCUCUAUCACUGAAGAAAUUAACUGAGUUGUAUGAGAUUUCCAAUGGCUUCACUCGAAGGGAUUGGUAGGUGUAGAAUUUUGAGUUGAGCAUCACUUGGAAACUUUUCCUUAGUAUUUCCUUGACCCACUUUAACAGUACGGUGUUUCCUAUGACUCAAGAAAGAGAAAAAAGAAACUACGAAAACAAAAGUCUUCAUGCUUCAUGUUCCUCGAAUGAAUACCAAGUCUUCAUGGUCACACCAAUUUAUUCACUUUCAAAGUCUUCAGAAAUCCAAAGUCUUCAAUUGAAUAACUUCAUUUUUAGGGGUCGACUUCCUCUAUAAAUAUCAAACUCCUCAUAGACUUAUAGACCUGUGUACACUCACAAACGCAACAGUCCCUUAACCUAUAAGUCUUCAAUACACCAAAAUCACUAAGGGGCACUAGAUGCACUUACAAUCUCCCCCUUUUUGGUGAUUAAUGACAAUAUAUGUCAAGUUUUCAACGGGGAUAAACAUAUGAAGUGUAAAUACUGAUAUUGAGGAAUUUCAUUGCAAGAUAUAGAAGAACACCCCAUGAAGAUGUGCAUAGAGAGGAAUUUACUUUUGAAGCAAUGCACACUUGAAGAGUAGAAUCAUGGAGAUCCCCCCUAUAUCUUGUAAUUCAUACAUGCAUUUAACAUAUAAUAUGAAGAAUUUGAAAUGCAUGAUGAAAUAUGGUGACUGAUGUAAUUCAGCAUGCGUGCAUUGACAUAUAUGAGGAAUAAGCAUGCAGAAGAACACGGCAAAAGUAUCAGGCCACCAUCGGGUUUUAAGUUUACAACUCAAUCCGGCAAAGUCUUCAAAAGAACGAGAGUUGUAACUUAGCAAAACAACACCCAUAUAAGUAGACCCGCUUGAAGACUAACUCAAAUUUCUCCCCCUUUGUCAUCGAAUGACCAAAAGGGUCGAAAAAAUGAGGACUAACGCCCCUGAAGAAUAUCAUCACUGAGUCGAUGAAGGAGCACCAACAUUGUUGGGGUCAGUUGUUGAGGUAGGACCUGCCGCAGUGUCGUCCAAGUUUUCAUGCUCAUCAGUCGUGCGUGAUGAAGAAUAUGAGUUGGCUACCAAGGAAGGAACUUUGGUUUUCUUGAAUUUCUUCGCUGGUGGCUGAGACCAGUCAAAGUCCUGCUUGAGACCCAUUUGCUUCAGAUCUUCUUCACCAUACAGAUAUGAAAGAACAGCCAGGUGCGACCGAAGACUUCAUGGAGGUAGUAAUGGUUUUCCUUCACUGCAUUGUGUGUAGCAGUCAUGUUGUGAAGAAUAGAGCCAAACUGACGCUUAACCCAUUUGUGGUUGUGAUCGACCUUCUGGUGAAGACUGAGGAGAAGCUCACGAUCAGUGAUCACCCUUGGAGCUGAGCCUUGAGGAUUUUGCUUUGAAGCAUUUAUGGCAGAGUCAUCAUUGGUGGCGUAGGAUGCAGCUUUGCGGAACUGACCAUCCAAUGGACGAAUGCCUUCAUCAAUAAUAGUAGUAGCCUUGCCCUUUUCAUCAGCUGAGGAAAAUGUCCGCUUGAGGACUUCUAUUGGGGGAAAGUAACUGACGUGAUUAUGAAAAUCAGCCUUGUAGUUGAGUGAAGACCUUGUUCUGAGGAAUCUCAUAAUCCAAGGAGCAUAAGGCUUCAACUCAAACGGAGAGAGUGCAACAUUUGCCAGAGUCCUCAUGAAGAAAUCAUGGUAGUUGACAUGAAUGCCAUGUAUGAUAUUGAAUAGCAUAUUCUUCAUGAUGCCAACAACUUCUUCAUCAUUCGAGUCGUGGCAUUUUAUUGGACUCAAUGUCUUUGACAGAAUGCGAUAAACAGUUCUAGGCACAUACAACAAUUCCUUCAUGAGGAAUUUGGUCCUUGGGGCUUGACCGGGCUUCAGCUGCUUCAUCAACACUUGCAUAUAGUGGUCAGUAAGUUCAGGUUCAUGAGAGAUACAACGUGCACCUUCAAGGGGAGGACUGACAGGCUGGGCAUGAAGCAAUUCAGAGGCCGGUGCUUUGAAGUGAGUAUUCUCUAUCAUCCAGUCCAUUACCCAAGAGUUCACAUCAGAAGCAUCUCCUGUGAUGUGCAACAUUGCACAGAACUAAACAAUUAGCUAUUCAUUCCAAUCAACAAUAUCAGUGCAAAAGUUGAGCAUUCCAGCGUCAUGAAGAACAUUGAGGACUGGCGUGAAGCAAGGAAGUGAUUCCAUGUCCACGUGAGGAAUAUGCUCAUGGUCGAAGACUUUGUCUUUGUUGAAAAGUAGCGAAGAAUAGAAGUUGGCUUGGCUAGAAGUCCAGAAACGCUUCCUUCUAAGAUGAGCAGAGUCAUAUGGGUUGUAAUCCGUGAACAAUAUGUGCUCGUGGAAGAAGUCAUCAGCCUUAAAUUUUUGCUUCUUUGAGAAGGGAUCCUUUGGCUUGGGCUAAGGAAUAUCAUUUAAUUGCAUCAUAACCUUAGGAAUCGCAAUCUCAGGAUCCACGGGGUGAGGAAUUUCAGUGCCUUCUUAAGUGGUUGCCUGGGUCUUCAAUUCUUCAUCAACUUGAACAUCAGCACUAGUGGCUGGAAUCUCGUCAUGAAUAGAUGGAGCAUGGUGAGUUUCCUCAGAACCCAUUUGAACUUCAGUUCGCACUGGGACUGAGGAAUUUGUUGCAGAGGAGUGAACAAAGGAGAAUUGGGGUGCUGACUUUCCCAAAAGUCAUUGUUCAUCACAGGUGUUGUGCACCCAAUGUCCAUAUUCUCAUAUUCAUCACUCAUUUCUUCAACAUCGGCCUCGUCAGCAGUGAACUAAGGCGUGGGCAAUGAGACAACUAGGGUUGAAGGGAUUGCAUCCACUUCAAUUUCUUCAUCCAACUAUUCUGAGGAAGCAGCAGAAGGAAUAUCUUCAUCGGAUCCGCUUGGGAUCACAUAUUCUUCAUCAAAAGGAAUGAGUUCCUUUGAUGGCAUGCUUGAGACUGGAACAGCAUCAAUCAGAUACUCAAAAGAGCUGGUCAAUUUCUUCAUCUUCUUCGGAGCUAAAGAUUCUGAUGAAUUUGAUGCUUUCCUUUUCUUCACAGCUGCACGCUCCACAGCCUUGGCCUUCUUCCCUUCUGAGGCAGAAGGAAGAAUAUGACUUGGUGUAGGUGCAGGAGGAGCAAAGGAAAUUGGUUCAGUUUCUUCAGGCACAACUGAUGCAAUUGCCCUGGCAUGAUCAGUUUCUUCAGGCACAACGGUUGAAGCUUCAACUGUGCUGAUAGUUUCUUCAGGCGCAACACUAGUGGUUGCCCUGGCAGUUUCAUCAGUGGCUGGAAUGCAGUCAUCAGCCCUGGUACUAGCAGAUUCAUCAGCAGCCUGAUUUUCAUCAGCGGUGCUGGCAUAUUCUGUAGGCUGAGCAAAUACCUCAGCCUGAGGAAUUUCUUGUUGCGUUGGGGCUGCAACAUUGGUAGUGAACUUCUCAGUUAUCUUCACAAAUCUGACCUUGGCUCCAAGCCAGUCAGCAUAGUAGCGAUCAAAUUCAUCACUCAGAUUCUUGAUCUCUAAUUGCAGAGCUACAAGUUCUUAAGGUGAAUGCUUCAAGAAGUUUUGCUUCAGAAAAUGCUCUUUCUUAUACUGCGCUUUCUUCACCUUCCUCCCAUGUUCAUAUUUGCAUUUCUCUUCGUGAAUGAAGGCAGUCAACACAUGACUUUGACCAGGAGUGAGGUUCAUCUCAGGCAUAGGUGUGUUGGGAUCCUUGUGCCACAAGUCGAUGAAGUCAAGGAUCAACAUUGGAUCCAGCAUCAAUGGCACAUUACUGCCUUUGGCUCUACUGGCCCCGUGCUACCUGUCUCUGAUGAUUUCAGCGAGUUCUUCGUCAUCAGCUUCGUCAUCAUCAGACGGUACUUGGAAGGUGACCUGCUUCUUGUGAGGACUUGGUUGAGAACCUCGUCCAGUAGUGGCCUUUGUCUUUAGCAAGGUGGGGUCUAGUUGAAGAAUGCGGAGGAGCAAAAGAACUUGCAGAGGCUCCUCAGGCAAUAGAGAUGCUUGUUGUCCUUUGGCACGAACGAGAUGCGCAGGUGCUGAGGAUUUGGAUGGAGGAGCUGAGGAUUUUGGAGGAGUUUGUGAAGCAUGAGGAAUUGGCCCUGAGGGCUUUGCAGAACUUGGCCGUGAGGGCAUUGCCGAGGAGCUUGGCCGUGAGGGCAUAGAAGUUGAAGCACUAGGCUUGUGAGCACGCUUCUUGGGCAUAGCCUUUUUAGGCUUGCUAGCAGAGGCCUCAGCAGUAGAAGCAGCGGAAUCUUCAUUAAAUUUCUUCACUGCUUCUUUUGCCAUUUUGGCCAACUUAGCUUGACGCUUGGCCCAUUCCUUGGGAAAUUCCUCACCUCUUCUGAUGCUAGAGGAAUCAGCAACUUGGCCAGGUGCCAAUGGAGGUCUUGGGCAUGGAGGGUGUACAGCGAAUUUCUUCAUGUACUUGGGAGUAACGUAGCGAUAUUCCCUCCAUUCCCGUGCACAUCUCCUCUCUAUCUUCUAUAUGCGCACCUUGCGCCGAUUUUUGGUCUCCUUGCCAUGUUUGGCCUCAUUAGGAGUGCAAUAUUCAUCAUAUAUAUCCUUAGGGAUUUCAAACAUUGUGUUGACUUCCAAUUUCUUACCUCCCUUCUGAGGUUUCUUGCCAUCUGCCAUUUUCUUCAGCUGAGGAUUUUGAUCUAUUGAGUUCUCUGAGGAGGUAUGCAACUUUACUUCGAGGAACGCUGCAAAUGAGUUAAGUUGAUGAGAACCUAGAGAUUCAGCAGCGGACAUCUGUACUGAUGUCUACUACACAACCUUCUUCUUGUAGACAUUGUUGGACCUCCAAGUGCAGAGGUUUGUAGGACAGUAGCAAAUUUCCCUCAAGUGGAUGACCUAAGGUUUAUCAAUCCGUGGGAGGCGUAGGAUGAAGAUGGUCUCUCUCAAGCAACCCUACAACCAAAUAACAAAGAGUCUCUUGUGUCCCCAACACACCCAAUACAAUGGUAAAUUGUAUAGGUGCACUAGUUCGGCAAAGACAUGGUGAUACAACUGGUAUAUGGAUGGUAGAUAAGGUUUUUGUAAUCUGAAAAUAUAAAAACAGCAAGGUAACUAAUGAUAAAAGUGAGCACAAACGGUAUUGCAAUGCGUUGAAACAAGGCCUAGGGUUCAUACUUUCACUAGUGUAAGUUCCCUCAACAAUAAUAACAUAUUUGGAUCAUAUAACUAUCCCUCAACAUGCAACAAAGAGUCACUCCAAAGUCACUAAUAGCGGAGAACAAACGAAGAGAUUAUGGUAGGGUACGAAACCACCUCAAAGUUAUCCUUUCUGAUCGAUCUAUUCAAGAGUCCGUAGUAAAAUAACACGAAGCUAUUGUUUCUGUUCAAUCUAUCCUAGAGUUCAUACUAGAAUAACACCUUAAGACACAAAUCAAUCAAAACCCUAAUGUCACAUAGAUACUCCAAUGUCACCUCAAGUAUCCGUGGGUAUGAUUAUACAAUAUGCAUCACACAAUCUCAGAUUCAUCUAUUCAACCAACACAAAGAACUUGAAAGAGUGCCCCAAAGUUUCUACCGGAGAGUCAAGACGAAAACGUGUGCCAACCCCUAUGCAUAGGUUCAUGUGAGGAACCCGCAAUUUGAUCACCAAAACAUACAUCAAGUGGAUCAGUAGAAUACCCCAUUGUCACCACGAGUAUCCCACGCAAGACAUACAUCAAGUGUUCUCAAAUCCUUAAAGACUCAAUCCGAUAAGAUAACUUCAAAGGGAAAACUCAAUCCAUUACAAGAGAGUAGAGGGGGAGAAACAUCAUAGGAUCCAACUAUAAUAGCAAAGCUCGUGAUACAUCAAGAUCGUACCACCUCAAGAACACGAGAGAGAGAGAGAGAGAGAGAGAGAGAGAGAGAGAUCAAACACAUAGCUACUGGUACAUAUCCUCAGCCCCGAUGGAGAACUAAUCCCUCCUCGUCAUGGAGAGCACCAUGAUGAUGAAGAUGGCCACUGGAGAGGGAUUCCCCCUCCGGCAGGGUGCCGAAACGGGUCUAGAUUGGUUUUCGGUGGCUACGGAGGCUUCUGGCGGCGGAACUCCCGAUCUAUUCUGCUCCCCGAAGUUUUUAGGGUAUAUGUGUAUAUAUAGGAGGAAGAAGUACGCCGGUGGAUCUCCGGGCUGUCCACGAGGCAGGGGGCACACCCAGGGGGUGGGCGCGCCCCCACCCUCGUGGGCAGCUCGGGACUCUCCUGGUCCAUCUCUGAUACUCCGUGGGCUUCUUCUGGUCCAAAAAUAAGUUCCGUGAUGUUUCAGGUCAAUUGGACUCCGUUUGAUUUUCCUUUUCUGCGAUACUACAAAACAAGGAAAAAACAGAAACUGGCACUGGGCUCUGGGUUAAUAGGUUAGUCCCAAAAUAAUAUAAAAGUGCAUAAUAAAGCCCAUAAACAUCCAAAAUAGAUAAUAUAAUAGCAUGGAACAAUAAAAAAUUAUAGAUACGUUGGAGACGUAUCAGCAUCCCCAAGCUUAAUUCCUGGUCGUCCUCGAGUGGGUAAAUGAUAAAAACAGAAUUUUGAUGUGGAAUGCUACCUAACAUAUUUCUCUAAGUAAUUCUCUUCAUUUUGGCAUGAAUGUUCAGAUCCAUAAGAUUCAAGACAAAAUUUUAAUAUUGACAUAAAAAUAUUAAUACUUCAAGCAUACUAAGCAAUCAUGUCUUCUCAAAAUAACAUGGCCAAAGAAAGUUCAUCCCUACAAAAUCAUAUAGUUUGGUCAUGCUCCAUUUUCGUCACACAAGAAUGCUCUCAUCAUGCACAACCCCGAUGACAAGCCAAGCAAUUGUUUCAUACUCUAGUAAUCUCAAACUUUUUUCAACUUUCACGCAAUACAUGAGCGUGAGCCAUGGAUAUAGCACUAUGGGUUAUGUGGAGAAGACAAAAAGGAGAAAGUCUCACAUCGACGCGGCUGAUCAAUGGGCUAGGGAGAUGCCCAUCAAUUGAUGGCAAUGCAAGGAGUAAGGAUUCCCAUGCAAUGGAUGCACUAGAGUUAUAAAUGUAUGAAAGCUCAACAAAAGAAACUAAGUGGGUGUGCAUCGAACUUGCUUUCUCAUGAAGACCUAGGGCACUUGAGGAGGCCCAUUGUUGGAAUAUACAAGCCAAGUUCUAAAAUGAAAAAUUCCCACUAGUAUAUGAAAGUGACAAAGCAAGAGACUCUCUAUCAUAAAGAUCAUGGUGCUACUUUGAAGCACAAGUGUGGAAAAAGGAUAGUAGCAUUUCCCCUUUUUUAUAUAUUUUUUGGGCCUUCCCUUUUUUUGGCCUUUCUCUUUUUUUUGGGGACAAUGCUCUAUUAAUGAUGAUCAUCACACUUCUAUUUAUUUACAACUCAAAGAUUACAACUCGAUACUAGAACAAGAUAUGACUCUAUAUGAAUGCCUCCGGCGGUGUACUCGGAUGGGCAAUGAAUCAAGAGUGACAUGUAUGAUAAAUUAUGCAUGGUGGCCUUGCCACAAAUACAAUGUCAACUACAUGAUCAUGCAAGGUAAUAUGACAAUGAUGAAGUGUGUCAUAAUAAACGGAACGGUGGAAAGUUGCAUGGAAAUAUAUCUCGGAAUGGCUAUGGAAAUGCCAUAAUAGGUAGGUAUGGUGGCUGUUUUGAGGAAGAUGUAAGGAGGUUUAUGUGUGAUAGAGCGUAUCAUAUCACGGGGUUUGGAUGCACCGGCGAAGUUUGCACAAACUCUCAAGCUGAGAAAGGGCAAUGCACGGUACCGAAGAGGCUAGCAAUGAUGGAAGGGUAAGAGUGUGUAUAAUCCAUGGACUCAACAUUAGUCAUAAAGAACUCAUAUACUUAUUGCAAAAAUCUACAAGUCAUCAAAAACCAAGCUCUACACGCAUGCUCCUAGGGGGAUAGAUUGGUAGGAAAAGACCAUCUCUCGUCCCCGACCGCCACUCAUAAGGAAGAAAAUCAAAGAACACCUCAUGUUUCAAAUUUGUGACAUAACGUUUACCAUACGUGCAUGCUACGGGACUUGCAAAAUCAACACAAGUAUUUAUAAAAUUCACAACUAAUCAACUAGCAUGACUCAAAUAUCACCAUCUCCAUAUCUCAAAACAAUCAUCAAGUAUCAAACUUCUCUUAGUAUUCAAUGCACUUUAUACGAUAGUUUUUAUUAUAUCCCUCUUGGAUGCCCAUCAUAUUAGGACUAAGUUCAUAACCAAAGAAAACUACCAUGCUAUUUAUAGACUCUCAAAAUGAUAUAAUUGAAGCAUGAGAGUUUAUCUAUUUCUUCAAAAUAAAACCACCGUCGUGCUCUAAAAAGAUAUAAGUGAAGCACUAGAGCAACAACAAACUAGUCCGAAAGAUAUAAGUGAAGAUCAAUGAGUAGUCAAAUAAUUAUGCAACUAUGUGAAGACUCUCUAACAUUUAAGAAUUUCAGAUGUUGGUAUUUUAUUCAAUCAACAAGCAAAACUAUAUAAAAUAAAAUGACGCUCCAAGCAAAACACAUAUCAUGUGGUAAAUAAAAAUAUAGCUCCAAGUAAAGUUACCGAUGAACGAAGACAAAAGAGGGGAUGCCUUCUGGGGCAUCCCAAAGCUUAGGCUUUUGGUUGUCCUUGAAUAUUACCUUGGGGUGCCUUGGGCAUCCCCAAGGUUAGGCUCUUGCCACUCCUUAUUCCAUAGUCCAUCGAAUCUUUACCCAAAACUUGAAAAUUUCACAACACCACUUCAAGUUACUGUAAUGAACUCAUUAUUUAUUUAUAUUUGUGUUAAACCUACUGUAUUCCAACUUCUCUAUGGUUUAUAAACUCUUUUACUAGCCAUAGAUUCAUCAAAAUAAGUAAACAACACAUGAAAAACAGAAUCUGUCAAAAACAGAACAUUCUGUAGUAAUCUGUAACUAACGCAGACUUCUGGAACCCCCAAAAUUCCAAAAUAAAUUGCUGGACGUGAGAAAUUUAUCUCUUAAUCAUCUGAAAAAAGAAGUAACUAAAUAGCACUCUCCAAUAAAAAAUGGCAGCAAUUCUUGUGAGCGGUAAAGUUUCUGUUUUUUACAGCAAGAUCAACAAGACUUUCCCCAAGUCUUCCCAAAGGUUCUACUUGGCACAAACACUAAUUAAGACAUAAAACCACAUCUAAAAAGAGGCUAGAUGAAUUAUUUAUUACUAAACAGGAUCAAAAAGUAAAUAACAAGAAUAAGAUUGGCUUGCCUCCCAAUAAGCGCUAUCGUUUAAUGCCCCUAGCUAGGCAUGAUGAUUUCAACGAUGCUCACAUAAAAGAUAAGAAUUGUAACAUAAAGAGAGCAUCUUGAAGAAUAUUACUAGCACAUUUAAGUCUAACCCACUUACUAUGCAUAGGGAUUUUGUGAGCAAACAACUUGUGGGAGGGAACAAGAAUCAACUUGCAUAGGAAGGUAAAACAAGGAUAACUUCAAAACUUUAAGCACAUAGAGAGGAAACUUGAUAUUAUUGCAAUUCCCACAAGCAUAUGUUCCUCCCUCAUAAUAAUUUUCAGUAGCAUCAUGAAUGAAUUCAACAAUAUAACCAGUACCUAAAGCAUUCUUUUCAUGAUCUACAAGCAUAGAAAAUUUACUACUCUCCACAUAAGCAAGAUUCUUCUCCUUCGGAAUAGUGGGAGUAUCAUAAGAAACUCGAAUACUAUAAAUUGUUUCCACAUUAAAAGAGUAAUGUUCAGAAAAAGGGUAAUCAUAAUCAUGACAAGUUUUAUAAAUAUAAUCAUCACUACUUUUUAUAGCAUAUGUAUCAUCACAAUAAUUAUCAUAAGUAGCAACUUUGUUCUCAUCAUAAUCGAUUGAAACCUCUUCCAAGAUAUUGGAAUCAUCACUGAAUAAAGUCAUGACGUCUCCAAAUCCACUUUCAUAAUUAUCAUAAUAAGAUUCAACAUCCUCCAAAAUAGUGGGAUCAUUACUUCCUAAAGUUGACACUCUUCCAAAUCCACUUUCAUCAAUAUAAUCAUCAUAAGUAGGAGUCAUGUUAUCAUCAUUAUAAAUUUGCAUGUCAAAACUUGGGAGACUAAAAAUAUCAUCUUCAUUAAACGUAGCAUCCCCAAGCUUGGGACAAACAUUAAUUGCAGCAAAUAUAUUCUCAAAAACAUCAUCCUCAUCAAACAUAGCAUCCCCAAGCUUGGGCCUUUUCAUAUCAUAAGCAUAAUCACCCUCAUCAUUAAUAGUAUGGACAGCACCAAUACUAUAGCAAUUAUCAUCAUCACAAUGAGUAAUAGGAGCAACAUCAUUUGGGAGAGAUACCUUUUUACCUUUACUUCUCCGUUUUUUCUAUUUCUUCUUCACAUCAUGUGUGGGUUCAACCCUAUUUUUGGAGCUCCUUAUUAAUGAGAUUGGUUGAAUAGAAGGCUCCUCCUCGUUACCUGAUUCAUCAUAAGAAAUAAUAGGAGGAUAUUGGGAAGUCUCUUCCCUUUCAUUAGUAUUCUCUUCAUCUUCUAUUUCUUUUCUUUUCUUUAUGUAAUUGGAAAUAUAAGGAUUUUCAACACAAUUCACCACACAAUACAUAUAAAUUUCCUCUAGAUCAAAAUCAAGAAGUUUAUCACGGGCAAAUACUUGAAGAUAGUUAGUUAUACGUUUCAUUUCUUCAUAACCCAUAAGAAAACUAAGUUCAUUAUGAUGUGCAAGGGAAAUCAAGUCAUCACAAUUUUUGGAAACGAUUAGAUCAUGAAACAAUUUGCAUCGGAUGGUUAAAUGACCAUGUUCAUUGCAAAGUUCACAAGUACGGCUAAGAAAAUUUAAAUUUCCAGCACAAACAUCUAGCCUUUCUUGCAACCAUUUAGUUUCUAAGUACUUAUGCCUCUUGCAAAAUCUAUCUUCCCUAAUUGGUGUGUACGUGCAAACUCUAUGCACUCCACAAAAAUCGACAUGCUUAUAGGAGACAUUCUCAUCAUGACUAGUGCAAUCAUCAUUAGUACUAUGGAUAUUCAAAGAGUUCAUACUAAUAACAUUGCAAUCAUGCUCAUCAUUCAAAGAUUUAGUUCCAAACAUUUUAAUGCAUUCUUCUUCUAACACUUUGGCACAAUUUUCCUUUCCAUCAUACUCACGAAAGAUAUUAAAAAGAUGAAGCGUAUGAGGCAAACUCAAUUCCACUUUUUUGUAGUUUUCUUUUAUAAACUAAACUAGUGCUAAAAUAAGAAACAAAAAUAUUCAAUUGCAAGAUCUAAAGAUAUACCUUCAAGCACUAACCUCCCCGGCAACGGCUCCAGAAAAGAGCUUGAUGUCUACUACACAACCUUCUUCUUGUAGAUGUUGUUGGGCCUCCAAGUGCAAAGAUGUGUAGGACAGUAACAAAUUUCCCUCAAGUGGAUGACCUAAGGUUUAUCAAUCCGUGGGAGGCAUAGGAUGAAGAUGGUCUCUCUCAAGCAACCCUGCAACCAAAUAACAAAGAGUCUCUUGUUUCCCCAACACACCCAAUACAAUGGUAAAUUGUAUAGGUGCACUAGUUCGGCGAAGAGAUGGUGAUACAAGUGGUAUAUGGAUGGUAGAUAAAGGAUUUUGUAAUCUGAAAAUAUAAAAACAGCAAGGCAACUAAUGAUAAAAGUGAGCACAAAUGGUAUUGCAACGCACUGAAACAAGGCCUAGGGUUCAUACUUCCACUAGUGUAAGUUCCCUCAAGAAUAAUAACAUAAUUGGAUCAUAUAACUAUCCCUCAACAUGCAACAAAGAGUCACUCCAAAGUCACCAAUAGCGGAGAACAAACGAAGAGGUUAUGGUAGGGUAUGAAACCACCUUAACGUUAUCCUUUCUGAUCGAUCUAUUCAAGAGUCCGUAGUAAAAUAACACGAAGCUAUUGUUUCCGUUCAAUCUAUCCUAGAGUUCGUACUAGAAUAACACCUUAAGAAACAAAUCAAUCAAAACCCUAAUGCCACCUAGAUAUUCCAAUGUCACCUCAAGUAUCCGUGGGUAUGAUUAUACGAUAUGCAUCACACAAUCUCAGAUUCAUCUAUUCAACCAACACAAAGAACUUCAAAGAGUGCCCUAAAGUAUCUACCAGAGACUCAAGAUGAAAACGUGUGCCAACCCCUAUGCAUAGGUUCAUGUGCGGAACCCGCAAGUUGAUCACCGAAACAUACAUCAAGUGGAUCAAUAGAAUACCCCAUUGUCACCACGGAUAUCCCACGCAAGACAUACAUCAAGUGUCCUCAAAUCCUUAAAGACUCAAUCUGAUAAGAUAACUUCAAAGGGAAAACUCAAUCCAUUACAAGAGAGUAGAGGGGGAGAAACAUCAUAAGAUCCAACUAUAAUAGCGAAGCUCGCGAUACAUCAAGAUCGUACCACCUCAAGAACACGAGAGAGACAGAGAGAGAUCAAACACAUAGCUACUGGUACAUACCCUCAGCCCCGAGGGAGAACUACUCCCUCCUCGUCAUGCAGAGCACCGUGAUGAUGAAGAUAGCCACCAAAGAGGGGUUCCCCUCCGGCAGGGUGCUGGAACGGGUCUAGAUUGUUUUUCGGUGGCUACGGAGGCUUCUGGCGAUGGAACUCCCGAUCUAUUCUGCUCCCCGAAGUUUUUAGGGUAUAUGGGUAUAUAUAGGAGGAAGAAGUACGUCGGUGGAUCUCCGGGCUGUCCAUGAGGCAGGGGGCACGUCUAGGGGGUGGGCGCACCCUCCCACCCUCGUGGGCAGCCCGGGACUCUCCUGGUCCAUGUCCAAUACUCUGUGGGCUUCUUCUGGUCCAAAAAUAAGUUCCGUGAAGUUUCAGGUCAAUUAGACUCCGUUUGAUUUUCCUUUUCCGCGAUACUCUAAAACAAGGAAAAAAUAGAAACUGGCACUGGGCUCUGGGUUAAUACGUUAGUCCCAAAAAUAAUAUAAAAGUGCAUAAUAAAACCCAUAAACAUCCAAAACAGAUAAUAUAAUAGCAUGGAACAAUCAGAAAUUAUAGAUACGUUGGAGACGUAUCAUGUACCUAUGAACAUAGUAUAGGUAUGAAGAAUUUGGAGAGGUCAUAUGCGUUCUCAGAAGUUUUUGCAAAAAGAACAAGUUCGAGGAAUUUGACCAGUUGCGUCUUGAGGAAUUUCACUAAGCGUUCUUUGACUUAGGUUCCAGAGUUGUACAGAUUUGAAAAUCCACACGAUUGAGGAAUGUUGAAGAAAAAAUGUUGCUUAGGGAAACAGAUCAAGAACAGAUGAUAUGUGAGGUGUUUAGUGUGUGAAGAUUUGAAGAAUAAACACCUUUUGAAGAUUUUGUAGAAAACAUCAGAAUCAACAAGGGUAGUAAAAGUACCUUCUAAUUACCCUUGACUAAGAACACGACGAACUGUGAAGAGUAGAUUUACAAGAUCGUCAGUUCGGAUCUUCCACGCCCUAACUUGGCAGAGGAAGACAGCUACGGCGGCAGCGGAGUGAAGAAAUACACAGCCGGCACGAGUACGACGGGGACGAGGUCGAGGCAGUGAAGCUCUUCCUCACUGGCGACGAUGUUAUUAGCGGUGGCGCUAGGGUUUGAGAGCUCGAGCGAGGGAGUGAGGUCGAGCGGAGAAAAAACGAAGUGAGGAAGAGAGAGGGGUAAUUAUAGCCAAAGUGAAAAACUGCUCGCCCGAGGAAAUUUGAUGAACGUGCCCCUGACCCUUCUCAUUCGUGUGACAUGUGUCACCCACGUACUGAGAGGUGACGAUCAUGGGCGAUCGUGGGUGAAUAGGAUAAUAUAUCAUGGAAAGUGGAACGGUUUGAGCGGCAAAAGCCAAAAAUUCAGAUAAGAUAAUUUUAUAGUUUCGUUCGCAAAUUCUUCAGCUGACAAGGACACAGUGAAGAUUUUGAACGAGUUUCAAAUAGAACGUACAUUAAGAAUUUUUGAAUAGAAUGGGUUGAGUUUAGCAUAGAGGGGGAAGGGUCCGAUCACAUUCACUUAGUAGAAAGAGCAACUUGAAGAAAUAGCAAUAAGUGAAUGCUGUAGAGGACAUAAACUCAUAUAUAUCUAUUGCCAAUGAAGAACAACAACGGAAAGAGUGAAGACAUUGCAAAGUUGAAGAAAAUGAACAACUGUGGAAUAUCAAAAAUGAGGAAAAACUCAAAUUGAAGAUUUUCAACUUUUGGUGGUGACGGGACCCACCGUAUAAGAGUUAUGAUUUCAGACACCACGUACAAUUGUUGUAGGGUUCUGAAAAUCUAAUUCUUCAUUAAUUUCUUCACACUUAGAGUGUUAGUCUUCAUUGAUUGAAGAAAAACAUUUUUUUGCGUGUUGCACAUCUAAGUCAUCAAUUUUGCAUAAGUGUUAGGAUGUGUGUCCUUUUCAAAGGACAUUCGAAGAUUCUAGGAUAUUUAGCUCACACCUCAACUUGCUAAAUCUCUUCUCAUCCAAGGGCUUUGUGAAGAUAUCACCUAGCUAUUCUUCAGUCAUCACAUGCUCAAUAGAUAUGUCGCCCUUCAACACAUGAUCACGAAGAAAAUGAUGACGAAUCUGAAUGUGCUUUGUCUUCGAGUGCUGAAUAGGGUUAUGAGCAAUCUUGAUGGAACUCUCAUUGUCAUAGUAGAGAGGCACAUUCUUCAUGUUGAGACCAUAGUCCUUGAGGGUUUGCUUCAUCCACAGCAAUUUAGCACAGCAAGAACCAGUAGCAAUGUACUCAGCUUCAGCAGUAGACAAUGAUACGCAAUUAUGUUUCUUUGAGGACCAACAAACCAAGGAUUGCCCGAGGAAAUGGCAUGUGCCUGAUGUUAACUUGCGGUCCACAUGAUCACCAGCAUAGUCAGAGUCUGAAUAUCCAAUGAGAUCAAAAGCCGAGCCCUUGGGAUACCAUAAUCCAAGUGUUGGUGUGUGAUCUAGAUAUCGAAGAAUAUGCUUCACAGCCUUAUGGUGUGAUUUCUUCGGUGUAGCUUGAAAUCGGGCACACAUGCAAACACUAAGCAUAAUAUCUGGCCUAGAUGCACAUAAAUACAAUAAAGAACCAAUCAUGGAGCGGUAUACCAUUUGAUCAAAGUCAAUACCAUUUUCAUCAGUGCAUAGAUGGCCAUUUGUGGGCAUAGGGAUUUUGACUCCUUUGCAAUCUUGCAUGCCAAAUUUCCUCAGUACAUCCUUGAGGUAUUUCUCCUGAGAUAUGAAAAUUCCAUUACGUUGUUGACUAAUUUGAAGACCUAAGAAGAAUUUCAAUUCUCCCAUCAUAGACAUUUGAUAUUCUUCACUCAUCAUAUAGGCAAAUUCAUCACUAUAAUGUUGGUCAGUACAGCCAAAAUUGAUAUCAUCAACAUAUAUUUGGCACACAAACAAUUCACCAUCAUAAGAUUUAGUGAAAAGAGUUGGGUCAAGUGAACUGGGUUUGAAGCCUUUCUUCAUGAGGAAUUCCUUCAAACUAUCAUACCAUGCCCGAGGGGCCUGCUUGAGGCCAUAGAGGGUCUUAUUGAGUCUGAAGACUUUGUCAGGAUGCUUUGGAUCUUCAAAACCUGGGGGUUGCGCAACAUAUACUUCUUCCUCAAGCUUACCAUUGAGGAAUGCACUUUUCACAUCCAUUUGAUAUAAGAUGAUAUCAUGAUGGUUAGCAUAAGCAAGUAAUAUGCGAAUAGCCUCAAGUCUAGCAAUAUGUGCAAAAGUUUCAUCGAAAUCAAUCCCUUCAACCUAUGUGUAGCCUUGAUCUACAAGUCGUGCCUUAUUCCUCACCACAAGGCCAUUUUCAUCUUGCUUGUUGCGGUAGAUCCACUUUGUGCCAAUGAUAUUGGGCUUGCGAGGAUCUGGACAUUUGACCAGUUCCCAGACGUUGUUGAGCUCGAAUUGAUGUAAUUCCUCUUGCAUAGCUUGAAUCCAAUCAGGCUCCAGAAAUGCUUCAUCUACCGUAGUGGGCUCUCUAAUAGAGACAAAACUAAAGUGCCCACAAAAGUUAGACAAAUGUGAAGCUCUUGAGCGUGUGAGAGGACCUGGAAUGUUGAUGUCGCUGAUGAUUUUCUCAAUUUGCACUUCAUUUGCAACGCGAGGAUGAGUUGGUUGUCGUUGAGGAAGUUGAUCAGCAUUUUCUUCAGCACCAUUUUCCUCAGGUGCAUCAGCAUGACGUUCUUCAUGUUCUGGAAUGACUUGUUCAGUAGGAAUGACAUCCUCAGUAGCCUUCAACUUGAUGGAUUCCUCAGGUGAUUUUUCAUCUAGCACAGGAGGUAGGUGCUCUCUUUGCGAACCAUUAGUCUCACUGAACCGCACAUCUAUAGUUUCAACAACCUUGUGGUGAUAGGUGUUGAAUACUCUGUAGGUGUGCGAGUCCUUACCAUAACCAAGCAUAAAACCUUCAUGUGCUUUCGGUGCAAAUUUAGAACUGUGAUGAGGAUCUCUAAUCCAGCAUUUAGCACCGAAGACUUUGAGAUAACUCACAUUGGGUUUCUUGUCAGUGAGGAGUUCAUAUGCAGUCUUCUUGAAGAAUUUGUGAAGAUAUACCCUGUUGAUGAUGUGGCACAUAGUAUCAAUUGCCUUAGGCCAGAAGCAAGGAGGCGUAUUAUACUCAUCAAGCAUAGUGCAGGCCAUCUCAACAAGAGUCCUGUUCUUGCGCUCCACGACGCCAUUCUGCUGAGGAGUAUAAGGAGCAGAUAACUCAUGAGUAAUACCAAGUUCAUCAAGAUAGUCAUCAGGACCAGUGUUCUUGAACUCAGUUCCAUUGUCACUUCUGAUGUGCUUGAUCUUCACACUAAAGUUUAUUGAAGCCCUCGAGGAAAAUCGUUUGAAGACUUCAUGCACUUUAGUUUUUUAAGUGAUGAUAUGCACCCAUGUAUAUCGAGAAUAAUCAUCAACAAUGACCAAGCCAUAUAAAGAUGCAGCAUUGGUAAAUGUGGCAUAGUGAGCAGGGCCAAAGAGAUCCAUGUGAAGAAAUUCAAAUGGACGAGUGGUAGUCAUGAUGGUCUUUGAGGGAUGCUUGGCCUUGGUCAUCUUUCCGGCUUCACAAGCUCCACACAAAUGGUCCUUGAGGAAUUUUACACCCUCGAUGCCAAUGACAUGCUUCUUCUUUGCGAGCAUGUGCAAGUUCCUCAUCCUAGCAUGACCAAGUCGUCGAUGCCAUAGCCAGCCUUCUGAAGCUUUUGCAAGUAGACAUGUAGCAGGUUGUGGUCCUAUAGAGAAAUCAACAAUAUACAAAUCUCCUCUCCUAAAGCCUUCGAAGACUUUGGAAUUGUCAGCUUCCAUGAUCACAACACAACGAUACUUGCCAAAGACAACAACUAAGGAUGGCAAUUUUAUCCAUGGAUAUCCGACCCGAAUGGAUAGGGUUUGGAUAUGCUUUUGUGUCCAUGGGCGGCGCCCAAACCCGACCGAUUGUUUGUGGAUAGGGCAUGGAUAUAAUCUUGUACCCAUGGAUAUAUCCAAACCUGACCCGAUAGUAUGACUUAAUGGGGGAAAAUAUGCUAUCCCUACCCCAUGGUCAUAUGUCGCACAACAAUUUUACACUUUUUUAUCUAAAACAUGCAUAAGAAAUUACACAAUCCCCAUCGUAACUUUUUUUAGUUGACAUUCAAUCCCCUCUGUAACAUACUCCAACACCCCUUCCCUUAUUUUUACCUCCUUCUUAAAUGACUCGUCAUUCUCAUCUAUUAGAAAAAUACUGAAUGAUCUUAGGUUGUUAGUGGAUGUUGAUUUACCAUAAGUGAAGCCUAGCCUACCACGAGGUGAAGAAUGGAAGAGUUUAUGUUAAUAUUGUGUUAUGUCUUAUUUAUAUGUCUCGAGAGGACCCAAUGGAUAUCCAAUGGGUAUGGAUAUCCAUAGGAUUUGGACAUGGACACAAUUUUUCACCCAUGGAUUUUUUCAUGGGCGGGCAAAGACUGUCUUCAUGGACAUGGAUAUGGAUUUGAGAUUGUUCAACCCGAUCCAAACCCAACCCAUUGCCAUCUCUAACAACAACCAUAUCAAGAUCACAAAGCAUUGAGACAGACAUGAGGUUGAACCCUAAGGACUCGACAAGCAUGACUUUGUCCAUGUGUUGAUCCUUUGAGAUUGCAACCUUACCUCGACCCAAUACCUUGCUUUUUCCUUUGUCAACGUAGGUGAUAUGCUUCAGAUGUCAUGGAGAUAAAGCAGAGUCCAUCAAUAAGCUCAUGUCACCAGUCAUGUGAUUUGUACAUCCACUAUCGAGGACCCACUGAGUGGCUUUGGGUUGAUCAUCCCGCAGAUGAAUUAGUGCAGUUUACGAACUCAUAUACUUCAUCAGUGAAGAAUGUGACAUCAAAUUCAUCAGAUCAAUUCCGUCAAGCAAGAGAAUGGGUAGAGUAGUAUGGGGACGAGAGAAAUGAAAAUUCAUUUAUUCAUGACUAGCUUGCAUCCUUUCAAGCAUAUUCAGGUCUCCAGGAAAUUCUUCAGACAUUUAAGUUCGUCUGGAGACCUGACCCUGCAUAAGAGAUUAGUUUUUUUCUUCACCACCCACAUCUGAAGGGGUGGCAAAGAGUUCAUCAUUCUACAAGCUCCAUAAGAGAAAGGUGGCAUAGAUGCCAAUCCACUUCGUUUCACAUAAGAGGAGUUAUGGUAAGCAUAAGAGUAAGCAGAGAAAUUCUUUGAGGAUUUAUGAACAUAAUGAUUUGAAGAAUAAUGCACAUAUCCAUAAUCCUUAGAUCUUCCCUACGAAACAGAAGGGUUAGCAUGAUGAUGUUCAUAUGAGGACUUUGAUCCUUUUGAGGAAUUUCAUCCACAUGAGGAAUUUGGUUCGUAUGAGGACUUAGAUCCAUAUGAAGAGUUUGAUCUGGAGUUCCUAUUCUUCACAGGUGGUGUCAUGAUGACAUUCAACUGAAUACUUUUAAGGCACCUUUUGGGAACCCAGAUUUUCUUCAUAGGGGGACCGUUCCUGCAGUCAGUGGCAACAUAUCUAGCAAAUACUUCACCAUCCUGAUUUUUGAACAGUUUGUAAUUGGAGUCAAAUAAUUCAUCAGAAGAAUAUGAAGAUUCACAUGUAAAGCCAGAUAAAGUAGAUGGAUCCACUGAAGGUCCCUUUGCAGCAACCCAUGAGGUUUUCGGAUACUGCUCAGGCUUCUAGUAAGUCCCAUCAGCAUUGAGUUUCCUCUCAAAGGCAAUACCCUCUUUCCUAGGGUUCCUGUUAAGGAUCUGCUUUUUAAGCACACCACAAAGAGCCUGAUGCCCUUUGAGGAUUUUGUACAUGCCUAUCAUAUACAGAUCCUUCAGCCAUGCAUCAUCAGUGAUACUAGCAAUGUCCUCAGAUGAGGAAUUAGUGAUAGCAGAGACAGGUGAAGAAUUUGCCGCAAUAAAAGCAUUUGAACAUUUAGGUGAAGAAUUAGCAGAUUCACGUUCAAUGCAUUUCAAACAUGGAGGAAUAAAUUAUUCCUGAGUAGCGCUGAUUUGUUGAGCAAGUAAUGAAUUACGCUCCUUCUGAAGAUCUUCGUAACACACCCUUAACUGCUCAAUAUCUUGCUUUCUUUGAAGAAAUUCAUAAGAAAGCUUCUCAUGAUCAGAUAAGAGAGUGUUAUGAUGACCCUGAAGGUUAUCAAACUUAGUCUGAAGUCUCUGAAGACCUUCAGCCAAAGCUUUCGACUGAUUCAUUUCUUCAUCCAACAUAUCAUCACUCUCAUCCAGCAUGUUUUGAACUUUUUCCAAAACUCUUGGUUGUUUAGUGGCAAGGGAAGCAAGUUUGGAAUAACUGGGUCCAAAUUCAUCACCAGAUUCAUCAUCACUUGACUCAGAUAAGUAGCAUUCAGUUACCUUGGCACCUUUUGCCAUAAGGCAUGGAGCAGAGGAUGAUGAUUCUGGAAUGAAAGUCAUAGCCUUGCGCGAUUCCGUGAAGUCCUCAAACCAGGGUUCAUGGUGAGAUCGAUGUCCUUCAUAGACCUCAGAGAGUCGGUCCUAGAUGAGCUUCGCAUGGAAGAGAUGCAUAACGUUCCUAAACUGAUUUUGUGAUAGGCCGGAGCAGAUGAUGUCCUUUGCCGUGACGUUGAGUAGCGUGUACUUGCGAAUAUCAUCAGCCUCCGCCAUCUUGCAUAGGUCAGUAAGACCAAUCUCGGUGACGGUCCAGAGUUCGUUGUUCAUCGCCAUGAGGCACUUCUUCAUCAUGGCCUUCCACUUGGGAUAAUCAUGAUCGUCAAAGAUGAGGCAUGUCACCAUCUUCAUUCCUGGGGUUGACAUAACUAAAACUCCAGGCGGUUAAACCAAAAUCACACAGAACAAGGGAGUACCUUGCUCUGAUACCAAUUGAAAGUGCGUUAAGUCGACUAGAGGGGGGGUGAAUAGGCGAUUUUUAUGAAUUUUUCACUGAGUAAUUUUAGGGUGAGGAAAUUCCUAAGAGAAGAACUACUUGCAGCGGAAUAAGUAGUCAGAUGCAAACAUAACAGACCAUAAGCAUGGUAAUCAUGAUGAAAUGAAAAGAAGCACAGAGAACAGAAAGCGUAAGCACAGGCUAAACAGAAUGAAGACAAACAGACUGAAGAAAUUGAACUGAGGAAAUUGAGAAAGUCUUCAGUCAAAGUCUUGAAACAGAUAUGAACA
rnacentral:lncRNA from 1 species